rnacentral:lncRNA from 1 species
UUUUUUUUUUUUUUUUUGCUUGCCAUCUUUGGAAAGGUUAAGAUUAUUAUUCUCCAUUUUCUUGGUCAUAAGAUAAUUCAAUAUGGUUAUUUUUUAAUGAAAGUUUUCGUCAUUUAGUUGAUUAUAUCAGGGUAUUGACUAAAUAGCAAUAGCUUAUGUCAAUUUUAUGCAGAAUAAAGAUUAACCUAAUCGCAUUUCACUUAGUUGCAAUAGCUGCGAUUCGGGGGUAGGAAAAUAUUCUUGGAACAAAGAUGAUUUUAUAGAAUUUUUUCAUGAUAAAUAUGCUAAUCAAGAAAAGUUAUGGCCUACCCAUAGAAGUUUCCAAUAGCUUACAAAUUUAAAUUAAUAAAUGGAAUAAAAGUAAAUGAAGAGCAAAAUCUUUUUUUUUUUUUUUGGUAGUAAAUUUUCCUUUUCAAUUUGUUGCGCACAUCUUGGGGAAAAGUUGAAUACUGUGGUGAAUUUGUGCUGAUGACAAUGAAAGACAAGCUUAGAAGAAAAGGAGUUUGACAUUUUCAUAUGGGGUACCCAAAUUUUUAUUAGUUUGUUGAAAUUGUAUCAGCUUCUUUCUGUCGAAAAAUUACGUCGUUUUCCGUAAUCACAUUUCCCUAUUACCUUUUUCCCUCACAUACAUCAAAUCGCUACAGUAAUUUUUUCAUGAAAAAUCACGAAAAAUGCAAUCCAAACACAACCUAAAGCAAGUAAUUAGUAAACCAAAUGUAUAAUAACACUAAAAUGUAUACCAAAUCAACUCUAAAUGUAUAAUAACACUAAAGUAAACCAAAAACACUAAAUGGACUCUUUAAGGGUAUGAAUGUAUAAUAACACUAAAUGGAAUCGCGCUCUCUUUUAAUAGUAUAUGUAUACCAUAGGGAGUAGCCUAACCACCCCCAAAAGGAAAAAAGAAAUAGAAAAAAAAUAAGAAGAAUGAAAGAGGACCUCUUCAAUCCACACCAGUUUUUUACAUUUGGCACUUCUAAGUAUCUGCAGGCUUGACUGUUCCCAAGUUAUUCUUUGAAUUGGAAGACCAACAAACUUCCAUAUUUGAAUAUUCAAAUAGUCAUGAAGUCCCAUGUCUCCUCUUGUUUAAUUGCUAUUUUUUUACUCCGAAAACACAAAAGCUUAUGCCCCACCGGCCACCACACACCUCAUUUUCUUGUUGAAAAUCUUCAUAUCAGUAGCUAUCUUCACAAUGCCAAUCUGCCAUCAACAUUUGGAAAAACAUUAGUAUUAAAAAUCAAUCCGCCCGCUCCCCAUAACCCCCUUGAAAACGACCUGUCCAACCAACGAAAAGAAAUGCAAGCCUUCUGGAAAAUCUUCCUCAGUUGCUCGGAAUUCGCAGAAAAACAGGAAUGUGACCUGGUCACCCUUCACUUUCUUUUUCUUCCUUGUAUUCCAUUUUCACUGACAAAGAGGAGAAUGAGAAUGCAGAGUCGAACCCAUCACCCAUAAUUCAUUUUGGGCCUGCAACAAUUACAGAGAUCGGAAUUAACAAAGCAUAGACGAAGGUAUCAUUCUCUCAUGAUGCUACAAUUAUUGUCCAAGUAUAUACACUAAUUCACAGUCUAUCAAUACUCGUGUAUCAUCUACAUUGUCUUGUGCAAUUAACGUUGAAAAUCAAGAAACCCUUUUCUCCGCACAUAGUAAUCUUGAAUCAAUCCUCCUUGGUUAAAAUAUCUUCACUUUACGGGGUCUGUCUGAAGAGGUACGUAUAAAAGUUGAGAAAUGAACCACGAGACUAUAUAUAAAUGCACGUACUAUUGUAUUCUCUGAAUUUGCACUGUGCUUCACUGUACAGGUUUUGAAUCCCCGAUUCAGUGUAUGAAAGAAUUUUAAAGAGAUUAUUUCCUGACUAUUGGACCAAAACUCAACGAUGAUGGUUGAUUCUAAUCACCACUGUCCUAUUGCGGGUUCUCCAAUCAUCCCUUAAAUUCCAAAUUAAUCCUAUGGCCAAAUUCCCGUUAUACCUCUACUAACCAAUCCUUAAAUUUCACCACCCAUUGCCCCCUACCCCACCAAUACUUCAAUCCAAAAAGGGUGCCCCCACCGAAUUUAACUUUUCUCCAAGGACCAAAAGAAUCAAAAGACAUAUACCAAGAAGCUUUUAAGGGCCACCUCAUUCCACCCCAGAGUCAUAGACAAAUAGUCCUACACGUACACAAAUGUGAUUUCAUCCACCCCAUAAUGGUUUCGGUCUUCUUACUCCAAAAUGCAAACCAGCUUCCACCUCACCGCUUCCUCUUUUCCGCCAUCUCUCUUUCCCAUUUCCUCCCUACCUCCUACUACUACUCCUUUCUCUUCUUCUUUAUUCUCAAUCCUUCCCCAACCCAUCUAAAAAAAUUUCCAUUCUAACAACUUUAUCCUUUUUCAUUUUUUCGUUUCUCUUUGCUAAGGCAGAAAAUUUUUAGAAAGAAUGGCAAAACUUGUAGUAGAAGUUCUUGACGCCAGCGAUCUCAUGCCUAAAGAUGGGCAAGGCUCAGCAAACCCUUUUGUAGAGGUAGACUUUGAAGGCCAUAAACAGAAGACACAACCAAAAGUUAAAGAUCUCAAUCCGGUUUGGAACGAGAACCUUGUUUUCAACAUCCAAAAUCCCGGGGAUCUUACUGACAAAACGAUUGAUGUGUUUGUGUAUAAUGAUAAUAAACAAGGCCAUCACAAGAACUUCCUUGGAAAAGUCAGAAUUUCUGGCGUUUCUGUCCCUUUUUCUGAGUCUGAGGCUGUUGUCCAGCGCUACCCUCUUGAUAAAAGAGGACUUUUUUCUAAUAUAAAAGGUGAUAUUGCAUUGAGAAUCUAUGCAGUUCUUGGUGCUUAUAGUGGUAAUAGUAAUAGCAAUGGUCAGGUUUUUGAGCCUGAACCGGAAGUACUAUUUCAGCAGCAGCAGCCGCCGCCGCAGCCGGUGAAUGUUAAUUUUCAAGAAAGCAAAGAAACCCCUCUUCAAGAAAUCAAUCCGAAUAAGCCUGGUGAAGAAUUUAAGGAGUUUAGUGAUGUCAAGAAGAAGAAAAAGAAGGAGAAGGAAGUCAGGACUUUCUACUCGGUUGGUACUGGUGGCGGGGGCGGCGGCGGUGGUGGUCCUCCUCCUCCUCCAGUAAAGCCGGCUGUGGUAGAACCCCGGGGUGACUUUGCUAAGGCUGGUGGACCUGCUGUAAUGCAUAUGCAGGUUCCCGGGCAGACGCCUGAUUUUGGGCUGGUGGAGACUAGGCCACCUGUGGCUGCAAGAAUGGGCUAUUGGGGUAGGGAUAAGACAGCGAGUACUUAUGAUAUGGUGGAACAAAUGCAGUUUUUGUAUGUUAAUGUUGUCAAGGCUAAGGAUCUUCCUGUGAUGGAUAUAACUGGGAGUCUCGAUCCAUAUGUUGAAGUGAAGGUUGGGAAUUAUAGAGGAGUUACUAGGCAUUUGGAGAAGAACCAAUAUCCGGUUUGGAACAGGAUUUUCGCUUUCUCUAAGGAAAGAUUGCAGUCAAGUACGCUUGAAGUAAUUGUGAAAGAUAAGGAUAUUGUAAAGGAUGAUUUUGUUGGGAAAGUUGAGUUUGAUAUCAUAGAUGUGCCCGUUCGUGUUCCCCCGGAUAGUCCUCUGGCUCCUCAGUGGUAUAAAUUGGCGGACAAGAAGGGGAAUAAAACUACCCUGCCAGGGGAGAUUAUGCUUGCUGUUUGGAUUGGGACUCAAGCUGAUGAGGCGUUUCCUGAGGCUUGGCAUUCUGACGCUCACAGUGUUAGCCAACAGAUGCUGGCUAAUACGCGUUCAAAGGUCUAUUUCUCGCCAAGAUUGUAUUAUCUACGUAUUCAUGUUAUUGAGGCUCAGGAUCUUGUUCCAGCUGAGAAAGGCAGGGCACCGGUUUCAUCGGUGAGGAUACAGGUUGGGCACCAGGCCAGGUCUACUAGGCCUGCACAACAGGGGACUUAUAGCCCGGUGUGGAAUGAGGAACUAAUGUUUGUAGUUGCUGAGCCUUUUGAUGAGAGCAUAAUUGUCAGUGUGGAUGACAAGGGAGAAUUGAUUGGCAGGCUUUUGAUUCCUGUUAGAGGACUUCCCCAAAGAAGGGAAGUCCCUAAGCUGCCUGAUGCUCGAUGGUACAACCUCCUCAAGCCUUCAUUGGCUGAACGAGAAGAAGGUGAGAAGAAGAGAGAGAUCAAAUUCUCCAGCAAAAUUCAUCUUCGGAUCUGUUUAGAUGCAGGUUACCAUGUCCUCGAUGAAUCCACACAUUUUAGCAGUGAUCUUCAGCCAUCGUCUAAGCAUUUGAGAAAGCCCAGCAUUGGGAUUCUUGAACUGGGCAUUUUGAGCGCUAAAAAUCUGCUGCCAAUGAAGAGCAAGGACGGUGGAACAACUGAUGCUUAUUGUGUGGCCAAAUAUGGGAACAAGUGGGUUCGAACAAGGACGCUUCUUGAUACUCUAGCUCCUCGUUGGAAUGAGCAGUACACCUGGGAAGUACAUGAUCCGUGCACUGUUAUCACCAUUGGUGUCUUUGACAAUAGCCAUAUCAAUGGGAGCAGAGAGGAUGCAAGAGAUCAGAGAAUUGGUAAGGUGAGGAUUCGGCUUUCAACCUUAGAAGCCAAUCGCAUUUAUACGCAUUAUUACCCAUUGUUGGUUCUUCUGCCCUCCGGUUUGAAGAAGCACGGGGAACUCCAUUUGGCUGUGCGGUUCACAUGUACUGCUUGGGGGAACAUGGUAACUCAAUACGCAAAGCCCUUGCUUCCCAAGAUGCAUUAUGUUCAGCCUAUAUCGGUUAGGCACAUUGACUGGCUGCGCCACCAAGCAAUGCAGAUUGUGGCUCUAAGGCUAUCCAGAGCAGAGCCACCCCUCAGGCGGGAGAUAGUGGAAUAUAUGUUGGAUGUAGACCUUCACAUGUUCAGCAUGAGAAGAAGCAAAGCCAACUUUCAUCGCAUAAUGUCACUUCUCUCAGGGAUCUCAGCAGUUUGUCGAUGGUUUGAUGGUAUCUGUCACUGGAGAAACCCAUUGACAACCAUUCUUGUUCACGUGUUGUUCUUGAUAUUAGUAUGCUACCCAGAGUUGAUCUUGCCCACAAUUUUCCUCUAUCUGUUUGUCAUAGGCUUGUGGAAUUAUCGAUUCAGGCCAAGACAUCCACCUCACAUGGAUGCUCGGCUUUCUCGAGCAGAAUUUACUCAUCCAGAUGAACUGGAUGAGGAGUUUGAUACUUUCCCUACUUCAAGGCCAACAGACGUUGUGAGGAUGAGGUAUGACCGCUUGCGGAGCGUUGCAGGCAGGGUGCAAAGUGUCAUUGGGGAUUUGGCAACGCAAGGGGAACGGGCUCUUUCCAUAUUAAGCUGGAGGGACCCGAGGGCUACGGCUAUAGUCAUCAUACUUGCCUUGUUCUCUGCUGUGUUCCUUUAUGUUACUCCAUUCCAAGUUGUAGCAGUGCUCAUUGGGCUCUUCUGGCUGGGCCAUCCUCGGUUCAGGAGCAAAUUACCCUCAGUACCUGUCAACUUCUUCAAGAGACUGCCUGCCAAAUCAGACAUGCUGCUUUGAGAUGUAGAUUAUCAAUUGUUUACCAAUAUACUCGGUCCAACUGUAAAACACGCAGGCGCCCAUGGCAAAUAAUUCCAAUAAGUGCAGCUGCAGAAGAGACAGCAGCGUAUAUCCCUUGCGCGCUGCAGAUGCGUCAAUAGAGGAAGAAUCACACCUUCAGCAACAUGCAAAUAUCUCUGAUUUGUUUAGUCAUUGUACUAGAGUAGACCAACUACUUUUUGUUUCAUUUUUGUAUUUUGUUUUCUAGCAUAUAUUCAACAUAUUCUAUCGAAUGCAUGCAUUGAAGGAAGCUCGGUAGUGUAAUUAUUGGAAUGAUUACACAAGGGAAAUGCUACAAUUAAUUUAACUCUCAGAAUAUCUAUAUCACCAGUUAUGCUCUCUGCCAGCAACAAAUAACUGAAAAGUUUGUCACUGGUUUAGUCACACAAAAAUGAGAUAUCCGGCUACCCUUUUUUUUUUUUUUGUAGAAGUAUAACAAUUUUUCAGAAGAUGUUAAAAACUUCUAGUCCCCAGGUACAAGGAGAGCGCCAAAAUUGUCAAUAAGCUCACAAGCACGCCACCUAAAAGACCUUUAUCAACAGUGCUCCACUCAAGCAGGCAAUUUUGGGCCUUGUUCUGGUUUCCUUCAAAUUCCAUCGCACUGCCCUUCUCCAUGAUGCGAGAGUUACUUUUCCGCUUCCUCAAUACCCAACCAACAAGGUUUAACUUUGCUUCAUACUUUGGGGUUGAAACUUUCUUUUCGACCUCCUGAACUUGUCCACAGCAACUAGUCAUUUCACAAGCACACUGUUCCUUUGAACAAGAAGAAUCCAGACUGGAGCAAUGCGAGAAUUGGUCAACACUUCUCUCUACUGCAUUUGCUUGGUUAAGAACCUCAAUCACUUCCCCAAAAACUGACCACCUACCAACAGAUGUUAUCUUGGCCAUUGCUGACAACCCCAACAUGGUCUCUGGACCGAUCACAAGAACUUGAAUGUAUCCCUUAGUGUGUCCCACCUACAGAAAUCAAUGCAGUUAAGAAUGAAGCACAAAUGCAUCGGAAACAGAUGCCAACAAAAAAAUAACAGUCAACUGCCACAAGGUCAACUCCUACUCCCUCCCAAAACAAAAAGAAAAAAAAAUAAGGGAAAGACCGCCCCCGAGGGGGGGGGGACCAAUGACAUUUGUAAAUUAAAGAACCGUGCAAAGCUAUAUACACAAGUACUACAGUCAAUAGCCUGCUAAUUUUAGUGCUGAAGGAAUGAUAUCUAUUGUCCCCAGCGCUCUUCAAUUAACACCUAAUAAUGGAAAAAAAAAAUCAAAUUCAAGUGCUUUCUAGGUGAAUGAAUAAUUAAAGCCCUAAAUCCACUAACUUGAACACUGCAUUCAAGACGACAAACAUAUCCAACAAAUGCAUGUUAAAGAAGCUCUUCACGCAUAUAUCACAUCUUACCAAGUGAACGCCAUCUGUUGCAAAUUCAGUAAUCCAAAUCCUUUCUACUUUGCCCUCCAUUCCAACGUAUGGCACAAACGACUCAAACACAGUAGUCAAUUCACGACUUCGUUUCUUCACCACUGUACUCGGAACUUUUUUCAUCCUUGCUGCCGGCGUCCCUGAUUAAAAGGAAAGACCAAGGGUGGUAUAAUUAGAAUGGCAAGAGUGACAGUGGCCAACCAGUUGUAGCUGUAAAAUUAGGAUAUUUGACUGAUCUGCUCCAUGAGGAGAUCAUAUUAGGAAUAUGAAGGAUUAUGAUGAUAAGAACUUCACUUCUAAGGCCGAACAGAUAAAAAAAAGCUAAAAGUUUUUGAAGCAAAACUAGAAAAUAACAUACCAGGGCGAGGAUAAAAUUGCGAUAUAUGCACUUGAGCAAAUUUAUACUCUCUGAUGAGGUCAACAGUUCGAGCAAAGUCUUCAUCAGUUUCACCUGAGAAUGAAAAGCAAGUAUGACUACCACAGAAACUUUCAAGUGACAGCUCAAUAAUUCAAGACAGGAAUAACUGAGAAAGCAACUUCAUCAUAAUAUUUGGGAGGAAAAAUAAAAAGUUAAAAUCACGUUGAUAACUGAACAGACAAAUUGCAAAGGGCAUUUAUCCGAUUCCAACUCAAACAUGAAAUGAAUGUUAAAAAAAGAAAAAAGAUUUCCUACUCCAAGGGAAUAAACUAGUGAUUCACUUACUACCAAGCUGCAAGCACACCCCAAGUAUCCCAUUAUGAAAUCAACGAGUUACUGGCCCACUAUCACAGUGCACCGAAUGCAUGAUGGAAUUCAAUACUCGUCUUCAAGUUAGUAUUUUACUAAAUAUUAACUUAGAGGAUCUAUUAGACCUUCUUUGAAAUAUUUGUAUGUGUCAUGGAAAAUUGAGUUCAUAAACAAAGCAAGAAAAGAACAAUCUUGCUAAAAUUGCAAUGAACUUGAAAACAGACCAGGAAAUCCACAAAUAAUAUCGGUGGCAAUCUGCAUUCCGGGGACCAAUUCAAUCAAUGUGUCUACCACCGUUCUGAACUCACUGACAGUAUAUUCCCGCUUCAUUGCCUGAAACCAGAUAUUAAGACAAAAAAAAGGAAGAAAAAUAUUAAGUUGAAGUUAAUUACAUCGCAAUCUGCAUUAAGCAUUUAAUUAAAGUUUAUUUACAGGAGGUGAGUCAAGUUUCCACCAGAACAAUUUCUCCAACAAAAUAAAAAAGUUCUGAUGACAAGGGAGAGUGGUCAGACGUACUGUCAAAAUUGAAUCACUUCCAGAUUGAACUGGUACAUGUAGAAAGGAAUAUACACAUGGAUGACACAAUACAUGAGCUAUUUCCUUCAAGUGCUCAAGGAUAUAUGGAGGAUUUGUCAUCCCAAUUCGAAGCAUUGUGCUUCCAUCUGAAGGAAGAACUGCGACUAUAGCAUUUAAAAGAAUUGGAAGAUUAACUCCAAUAUCACGACCUGCAUAAUUUUUAUAGCCUUAAGAGUCAUUAAAUGAAUGUUUAGUCAUGUCAGUAAAAUAAUCUAUUGGUGGAACAAAGGAUAUGUAUCAAUUGGAUACUAACCCCUUUUCUGUUGAUAAAUGAAGAUUAUGAAAAAUGGACAGAGUUGCUAAACAACCAGAUUAGAUAGUAUGUGAUUAAAGAGUAUUAGCAAUUACCAUAUGCUCCAGUGUCCUCACUACUCAACCAGAUCUCCUUCACUCCAUCAGCUAUUACAGCUCUGACACGACCCACCUAACAUGAGGACAUUUAAUUAGAACAAAAAAAGAAAAAAAAAUCACUAGAAACUCAUAGGAGGUGCAUACAAGGCUUUCAACUGUAUAGCUUCCUAAGUGACCGCGAGCAUGCUUCGUCUUGCAAUAGGUGCAAGCACCUAAACAGCCAACAUUAAUAGGAAGAAUCUCCACGAACUUGUUCUUCCUAACCUAUUGGAAAAUAAAAAUGAUCAGAAAAAACAGACAAUAGCACAAUUACUGAACCUAUUAAUUUUCAUAGACCAGAUCUCAAAAAGACAUGUAAUUGAGAUUUAACAUUUACACCUUUGGGAGGUCAAGUGCCGGUAAUGUCCUGCGGGUCAGCAGCCGCACCUCAUGACCUUUUAAUGUUUCUUCCACAACUUCUACCACUCGAUCAAUUUGCUGGACUCCAACUAUACUAACACCUUCCAGCUCUUUCAGAUCCCGACUUCCUUGAGGUACACAUCCUGCGACUACUAAAGGCUUCUUGGCACUUCUACACUUUGUAAUGAGGGUGUUCAUGGCAGACUGACUAGGGGACUUAACUGUGCAGCUGCAUUUUCGAACAAGUACAUCAUCAGAAGAAAUCAACCCAUGCUUCAGAACAAAAGCAGCUUUGUCCUAAGUACAUCAUUAAAGAAAUCAACAUAUGCUUCAGAACAGAAGUAGCUUUCUUCUUUCAAACAUGAAUUUCAUUGAUAAAGCCCUUUGGAUGAUAACUAAAUGAUUGCACACAUUUCGACAAAAAAAAAAUGAUUGCAUAUGAAAAAGCACAUCCCUUGUACCAACAAAUAUAUUCAAAUAAAUUGGAAGCUACAAAUAAGAUUCUUAAAAACAAAAUCCCAUUUAAUCUUUGGAAAUUUGAUCAAAUUGAAGAUCAAGUUUCCAAACAAAUACAUGUUCAACUCAAUAUUUUGUAAUUAAUCUACAGCUUUGUUAAGAAUCAGCAUAUCCAGAUUGGAGGCCAUAAAGAGCAUACCAAGACACACAAUAUUCUUCCACAUGCUUUGCACCCACUCAUGUAGAGCAUGACAAAGACUAAAGAUCAGUAAACAUUGUUUGUUUUCAUAACCAUCAAAUAUAGAAAAAUGAAAGAUUAAUGAUAACUCACGUAUUAAUAAGCCAGAGAUCAGCCUCAUCAGGAUCAUCAGAUAAAACAUAACCAAAAGCUGAAAGUUGACCUCCCAUAUAUUCGCUGUCACUCUAAUAAAAACCAAUCAAAGAAUUAACAAGUUAGUGAAGCAAAUUGUGGCAACACAGUUUCAUAACUUAUAUAAAGGGAAUAUAAAAGAUGAAUAACAACCUGAAGCUGGUAACAAUUUCCACUCACCAGAAUGCAAAUCUCAAUGAACUAAUGACCCAGAAUUGCUAAUACUUGUUUUAACAAAACACAGUGACCCAAUUCAAUUUUCCUAACAUCCAACAAUCUGUUCUAGAGCCUCUAAAAUGUAAUCAAUGUAAAAAAAAUCAAGUUUCACCUUCUUGACAUGUGCUCAGCUGGAAAACCUGAGAAACACUCUAACAAGUACUUCUUCCAUAGAACUAAGAGAGUCUGUAAUAUAAAUUGUGCAGAGACAGUAAAGAUUUCCUAAUAAAGCUUGACAUCAUAGAUGAUUGCUAGAGUAUGAGAGACGAAUCAAUAAAUAUUCCUUAAAGGAUUAACACAUCCAACAUUCAAAGUCUGACAAUUUGCAAACAGUACUGAGAACUUGCUUGGUUCAUGACCUGACCUCUUUCUGAAGUUAAAACCAAACAACCACAAAACUUAAGGCUCAUAUCUUUUCGUUGCAAUUAGUAACUUUGAAGCUUAAACAUGAUUUAUAUUGCUUUGAUAUCUAGAUGACGAGUAGUCAUGUACUGUGAAAUAGCUAGCAAAAUCACAUUGAUUUUGUCCAACAUCUGGUAUAUGUGACUUUGUAUACUUACAACUACCCUUCAAAGAAAUAUUAUUAUUCCUUUCAUCUAUAUUGGCACUUCACAACCUACAUUUCCAAACCAACUAAUCCUUCCUCCUUUGUCUACCACUUUUGUCCAAGAAGUCCAACAAUAUUUCCAUCAGCCAGUCCUCGUGGCUCAGUGAUCCCAGAAUCUAUGAGAAAAUAAAAAUGAAAAACGAAAAAAAAUCUGAACCAAAGAUUUCUGAAAAUUUUCUCUCCAGCGACAAAGAAUUCAAACUGAAAACUUCCUCUAUUGUUAUCCAAAACCCCGAUGAGAAUGAUAUCUAGAUUCAUGCACCUCCCAUAAUUUGCAUGCAUCAUGACAAAUUCUCCUCCAUCUAUCUUAUGAAAAGAGAAAACACAAAAAAAUGAUUCACGAAUAUUUUGUUUCCAUUCUUCCAUACCAAGUUCAAUGUUCACAGCAGGGCAUAAAACUAACCCAAAUUCAAAUACCCGCAUCAUCAAUUCAACAAAAAACAAAAAAAAAAAAGUUCCUUUCCACUACAUUCUCUAUAACCAGCUAAAAAUGUUCCAGAAAAAAAGGAAAAUGCAAUCUUUCUGCUGACCCUUCAAAAAAAAAUCCUUCUCAACUUAAACACUAAAAGAACAGAAAAAACAAAACACUAUGAAAAACCGUAAUUCCAAAGCUAACCUGAUUAUGUGAACACCCAAAAGUCUUCAUAUAGAUUGUCUGCAAGGCAUUAUACAAUAAAUAAAUAAACCAAUCAGCUACCGAUAAAAAGGGAAAGAAAACUUCUAAGGUACAGUCGAAAGAGAAGAAGUGUCACCUGGGUUCCUGGGAUACUGAGGGACGCUUUGGGAAUGGUGUGAGUAAUCUUUUCCUUCUUCUGUUUGGGAUUGACACCGACGGCCCCCGCCACCGGCAACCGGAACCCAGGUGGCACUCCAGCGCCACCACCUCCAGCUAAUAAAUCCUCUAUAUCUUCCAUUUUUUUUUGUCAAAUUAUCUGAUUGAAAGGGAAAAAAAAAAAGAAAAGAAAAAACACACAGACACACACAGUGGGAAGAGAAACGGGCAGAAUUUUCUUUUUUCUGCAAUGGUGAAGUUUACAAGGGUUCUUAAUUCUUUCUCAGAGGAAAAGAGACGAGCAAUGCUGGAGUUUGUUAACGGCCACGAUUCAAUUUAAAUGCCUGAUAUCGAAGGACAAACUUUGUCCACGUCGCCUCAAUUAACUAUCCAACGGCACCGUUCGGCCAGAAGUCGAAUACUUGGAGGUAAAGGGGCUUUUUUUUUAUUUCUUUCUUUUAAGGGAUAAUUUCAGAAACCUCCCUUGAGAUUUUUAACAAUUUCACUAGCUUCUCCUAGAGUUUACAAAAUUACACAAAUCUCUCCUAAGAUUAAGGUUUUGAUAACAAAAUUAGUCUAAUUAAAAAAAAACAACAAACGAAACUUUUAUUUCAUAUAUACCUCUUAUACAUGUAUAUAAGUUGUACUAGGAAAAAGAAUAAAAAAGUAAUUAAAAAAUUAAAAAUAAUUAAUACACAUAUUUCAUCACUCAAAAAAGUUCACAUUUAAUAAAUUAAAUAACAAAAAUAAGCAACAAAACUACACUAAUGAUCACAAGAUUCAACAAAAUAGACUAGUCAUCUCUUUUGACAUGAUAUUUCUUAUGAUUCUUGUGAUUUUGAAUAGAAAUUUUUUUUAAAUUUUGCCUUUCUUUUCCUUCUAUUUUCCUUAAAUACAUAAGUUGAGGUGUUGCAGGGGAUCCAAAAUUGCAUAUCGAAGACGCUGCAACAGGGCCGGUUGUUCAAAACCAGGUACAGGAAAGAGUUGAUGAUUUUUGUUUAGAGGUUUUAUUUCAAUUAAUUCAAAUUAUUUUCAUUUCAAUUUUUUUUUUAAAAUUCCGUGACUUAGGAACUAGUGGAAGAGAACGUUGACGAAACCAGUGACGAGGAAGUAAUGCAUCAUGAGGACACUGAGCUAGUCUUAGGUCAGGCUCAGGUACUGGACGAAUAGGUGACUAAAUUUUUUUAGAGAUUUAUUUUAUCCUUUUUCAUGCAAUACCUUUUUAAUUUUUAGAAUAAUCAAAAAAUUUAUUCAAUUCUUUGUGCUUAAAAAAAUAAUGUGGAAGAAGCUGGAGAAGAGGAACUUGACGCUGCGUUGGACGUACCUCAAGGUCAACUACUGGACAAACCAGUGACUAAAUAUUUUAAAAUUUUUAUUUUAUCCUUUUUAUGCAAACCAUUUUAACUUAUAGAAUAAUUUAAAAAAUUAUUCAAUUCUCUAUGGAUAGGAACAUGAGGAGAAUGAGGAAGAACAUAUGGAAGAAGUUGGAGGAGAGGAAGUUAUGCAUGCUGAGGAAGCUGUAGGGCUGGUGGUCCAACCUCAGCAACUAGAUGAACUGGUGACAAAGUAUUUUUUUUUAGAGUUUUAUUUUAUAUUUUUUUUAUUAAACAUUAUUUUUACUUAAUGAGAAGAAAGGCAAAAUUUUAAAAUUUUUCUAUUCAAAAUCACAAGAAUUAUAGCAAACAUCAUGCUAAAAGAAAUGACUAGUCUAUCUUGCUGAAUCUUGUGAUCAUUAGUGUAUUUUUAUUGCUUGUUUAUGUUGUCUAAUUUAUUAAAUGUGAACUCUUUGAAUGAUAAAUUGUGUGUAUUAAUUAUUUUUAACUUUUAAUUAUUUUUAUUCUUUUACUAAUACAACUUAUGUACAUGCAUAAGGGAUAUUUAUGGAAUCAAAGUUUCGUCUCUCUCCUUAAAGUACUUUUUUAAUGUUACUUUUUCUAAUUGGACUAAUUUUGUUAUUAAAAUCUUAACCUCAGGGGAGAUUUGUGUACUUUUACAAAUUUUAGGGGAGGCUAGUGUGUGACGAUCUCAAAAUUUUAUUAAUUUCUGAAAAAUUAAAUCAAAAAUAUCAUUUGAAUAUUGAAUUUAUUAAAUAAUAUGUAUUUGUAUUUAAAUAUUGUUGUUUUACUUAUAUAAAUGUUAUAUUUUAAAUUAAAGGAAUUUUAAAAAAAAUUUAAUUGACGAUUCGCGUUCGGUUAAGCAUUAAGUUGGAUUUUCGCGCACCAACGCGCAAUGUAGUUCUAAGUUGAACUGUAGGAUAUGUAGAGGUUAUAAAAAUAUAUAAUUAAAUUGAGGAAUGCUAGAUGAGGAAUUCCCACCAUUAUUGGCAUGCCCAAAAAGUCAACUAACCUACUCACUAGAUUACCCCAAUUUUCCUCCCAUCUUGUCACCAUCUACCCACCAUUUUCUUUCCCUCCAAGCUCCCGAUCCUCUGGUGCAAGAAGAAGCAGAAGCCGCUGCCAUUCCAAGCUUCCAACAGCUUUCCAUCUUCAGCCAUUCACACCCCAAUCUUCAAGCUUCCAUUUCCAGCUUCCACCUCCAUUCCUUGCUGCUGUCUCGAUCGAGCAAGGAAAAGGAGGAUCGCAGCUCCUCCUGCUGCUGUUGUUACUGCUGCUGCUGGCGUUGCGUCGGACCAGGGGAGAAGGAGAAACCAGCUGCCAUUUUUCUUUCCUCCAACCACAGAACCUUCCAAGCUGACCCUCUGUGGUUCUAGGAGAAACUUGAGGAACUAGACAAUACCUUUAGCUAGUAAACAACCCGCUUGAAGGUAACAAACUCCAGCUUAACCCCUUAGCCAAAAAAAAAAAAAAAAAUUUCAGAAGCUUUUGUUCUUGAAAUUUCUAGCUUGUGUUGAUAAAAUUAUUGGGUGGCUAAUCCUCUAAGCUAAUGAUGGAUGAAGCUAGAGGUGAUUUAUGUAUUUAUAUGUGUGUUUUGCUGAAGUUAGAGGUUGAGAAAAUUUUGAAAGAAUGGAAAGGAAUGCUGGCCGAAUGGGAAAGCAAAAAAAAAAAAUUCCAGUUUUGUUGCCGCUUGUCUUCCUGCUAUUUUUGCUUAAGUAAUGAACUGAACUAUUUGUUGGGAUGUUAGACUAGUUGGUUGUGGUUGUUAUGGACAUGAUGUAUGAGUUUACAAGUCGAAAAUUUUUGAGGAAAUGAAGAGAAAAUUGUACUCUGCUAAACCGAACCAGCAGGCCUGUUUUUCUCCCAACUUUACCCGAAUUUUUGAGCUGGUUUUGUGAAAUAAUUGAGCUACUUAAAUCAUGUAUAUGUUAACCUAUAUGUGUAGUGUAGUUUUGGCUGAAUUGUAGCUUUUGGGUAGUUGAAAAAUUUUGGACAAAUUGAAGGGAAAGAGGACUGCUGCUGUCGAGUGAACCUCCAGCUUUGCAUAGGAAAUGUUGAACUGUUUUCACGUUAACUUGAACCCAAUUGAUUUGUGUUUAGUUCAGGGGUUUGUAUAGCUCAAUUUGGGACAAAAAUCUAGUAGAGUUUACGUCCAAAAAGUGGACCAAAAUUUUGUUCUUCAUGAUUCUUCUAAAACAGAUUUUUCCGUUUGAAAUUGGAAUUUGAUAAACUUAAGGAGUUUCUAUUUUAUAAAAAUUCUAAAGGCUAGUUUUACUUGAUUUUUAUGAUUUCCUCUUAAAAGAAACUUCCUCAGAUACUUUUUUUUUUUGGGAAAAGUAGAGGGGAAAUUUCUCUAAGUGGUUUAAAUGUGAUUUUCUCAACUUGUGACACCAAAUUUAUUGUUAAUUAUUUGGGUGGUUCUAAAAAUUUGUUGGUGGAAUAUUUGAAGAAUUUAACAAGUUUUUGGUUUUAUAGAAACCUCAAAAGUUAAUUCCACUUGAUAUUCGUGACUUUCACUUUGAGAAAACGAUUAAAGCUAGUUUGGAAUCCUUGAGUGGAAUUAAAUGCUAGUUAACUCGAGUUAAACUCGCCAACUCAAAAGUAGAAAUUUAUGUGAAUUAUUUGUAUGUUUUUUUUUAGGAGUUGGUGAAGGGCACAAUCUUGGUCAAAGUUUGGAAUUCUAAACACUUCACUUAAGGUGAGUGUCUCUCGCAUGAAUUGUGUUUAACUGCUAGAUGAACUACUUGUUAUAAGUACUUGCCUGAGAUACCAUGAAAUAUGACCUGCUAUGUGAUCAUGUGAAAUAUCAUAAGUACAAGGUUUGCAAUGUCGAUUGGAGCGCGGUCUCGUCGACUAAAUAAACCAAACGGAAGCAUGUACCACGCUCUAAUGGAGUAGGAGGUACCUCUCGACCGUUUUGGUAAAAGUAUUUGCAAUAUUCAUGUUGGAGUCGGGCCCGAAAAUAAGGGGGAGGUCGUUGCUAGGAGACAAGUAGAGUAGGAAAUAUUUUAUAUGGAGGUUAGGUAGUAAAAGUUGACGGAGUGUCAACUACCAAAAAUUUCCUGAUCAAGCGCGUGGACUUUGGCUCCUGAGAGCCCCGUAUCCUUUUCUUGUCAUGAUAAUUCACUUUUUUAAAUUAUUAAUUGCUUACUUGACAACUUAUACUUGUUAAAUUGGCCCUAUGUAAAUUGCAUGUUUCGAGGCACCACUGAGCUAUUGGCUCAUCCCUUCCAAUUUGUUUUCCUUGACAGGUUCCGAAAUGCAAGAAACCUUGGAGAUCUAGAAUAGAAAUGUUAUCUUUGGAAUGCCCACUUUUGUAAUUGUACUUUGGAAAAACUUUAGUAUCUUUUGGAUGACUUUUGUGUCUUUGGGAAAAUAUGAAUCCUAUGGUGCUUCUGUGCCCUGGAUUAGGAACUUUAUAUUGUAAAUUAAGUUGAAAUUAAGUAUUUUAAGUUCGACGUUUUCAUUGGUGUUUGAAUUUUUCUUUUGGACAGGGUAAGUUGAAUGGUACGAUUUGUUUAAGUACUUGGUUUAUUUGGGAGGUAAAGUUUAUUUACGAAUUAUAUUUGAUGAUGUUAACUCGUUGAGCAAGUGAGUCCUAGCGAGAGUUAGGCAGGCGACCCGCCAACCCUUUGGUUCGCCUUAGGGGGAAGUGGGGCCGUCACAGGUGGUAUCAGAGCCUUAUGUUAGAACGUAUUUGGGAGAAUUGUUAGGUAUUUUAUUCCUAGGAAUAGGAACGAGAUACUCAGAUAUAUUUUAAGUGAUAAUUGAUCAAGGGAAUGGUGCUAAGGUUUAACUUUGAAAGUUUUGGCUGUUUUGUAGGUAUGGAGAACCCUAAUGGGAACGGACAUGCUGCUAAUGGUAACGGGCACGUGAAUGGUCACGCGCCGCCUCUUAGGCCUAUUUCUUACCGAGUUCAGGGUGGUGGAGCUCGUGUUCAGUACUCGCCCGCCACCAGGGUUCCUAGGUGUGACUGUAGGUUGACCUUCUCUUACCCCAAUCGCUUGGUUCUGGCUAUAGACGAUGAACGUCAACAGUUGGUGAAUUCCAACAUAGCCCUGAUUCAGGACGUGGACGAGUUGGGUGCCAUGAUGGCUAAUCUGCAGAAUAGGGUAGCAGAGCUGAUUGGAAGGGUGAUAGAGGAGAGAGUUAGGGCUGAGGCAGACCGUGAGGAGCUGCAGAGAGCAAGAGACAGCUUGGCUAGGAUGAGAGACAUGGUUCGUGAGCGAACUUCUGGGAUAUUAGUGGAUGCUACCAUAUUGAUGGAUGAGGUGAUGGAUGAGAUCUCGGAGGUAGUUCCUAGUGCUGAGGAGGAUCCAGAGGAGGACCCGGAGGAGGAUCCUGAUGAAAGGAAUUCAUCUGAUGGUCCCGUUGAGGACUAGGCAUAGUUAACCACCCUUUUGACUUGUAACCCUUAAACAAUUGUUGGGAUGGUGCUAACUCAUGGGUCAUUGUAUUUUUGUAAUUGUAUGGCUCGCUUUUGUGAUGUUGCACUUCUUUUGAAUGUAAAGGACUGGCUGCACCUGGUAGCACCUUUGUGCUAUAUUUUUGUAAAAUCCCAACGAAAUACUAAUUGUAGGAAUUUCAAAGAUUAAUGUAUGCGUUAGUUGUGGUUAUUUUAUCGCUCUCAAGUUGAUCUUCAUUUUACAUAAUUUUUCUACGUUGUUCUUUAAUUUUACAUAAAUUUCUGCAUACUUACUUCUCUUUCUUGCAUUAGGCAUAACUAGGUAUGGAUCACCGUGGUAAAGGCCGAGGCCGAAGUCGAGGUCGAGGUCGAGGGAGACGGGUUGAACCCCUCCGUGAUCAAGGGGGCGAUAGAGCGUCUGAGGUGAACCAAAAUCAUGGACCCGAGGGCGGGGGCGGAGAUCAAAUGGCCACCGCUAUUAAUAGGAUAACUGAAGUACUAGAGCGUUUGGCGGACCGUCAAGGUCCUGGAUUAGCGCAACAACAACCUGGAUGGCAGGUAGAUACGGAAGAUAGGGCUUUGGAAAGGUUCCUGAAGUUUGGGCCGCCUAAGUUUCAAGGUGGGCCAGAGCCUGAGAUAGCUGAGGGAUGGUGGGAGAGAAUAUCUGAUAUUUUUACCACCCUGGAUUACACUGAAGGGCGAAAGGUGACCUUUGCGUCAUUUCAAUUUGAGGGAGUUGCACGGUCAUGGUGGAAUCUAAUUAAGGCUAAGUGGGAUAGAGACCGUACCCCUAGUACUUGGGCAAAUUUCACCCGUGAGUUUAACGCCAAAUUCCUUCCAACCCUAGUCCAAGAGAAAAAGGAAGAUGACUUUAUUAAGUGCAAACAAGGGGCCAUGAGUAUAGCAGAGUAUGAGACCAAUUUCACUAAAUUAGCUCGUUAUGCCCCUGACCUUGUAGCCACUGAGCAGAGACGCAUUAGGAGAUUUGUGCAAGGGCUCAAUGUAGAGAUUCAAGAGGGGCUAGCAACUGCUCAAAUUAGCACUUAUAGUGACGCCGUGGAGAAAGCUCAGAGGUUUGAGACGGCUAGAGCCCAAUCUAAGUCAUUCUUUGCUAGAAAAAGGAAUGCCCCUAGUGGUAGCAGGGACCCAGUUUCGGCAAGUGCCUCACCGCUUAAGAUGGGUAGAGGAACUGGGGUAGUGAACAUCCCUAGUGCUUUGAGAGGUGCUUUAGCAAGGGGAGCUGGAACUAGAGGCUCUGGGGCGAGAGGUUCUGGAAUAAGAGGAGGUCAAAGUGGAAGGGGACCCUCUAGGAGUGCUCCGCGCGUUGAACAAGUGUCAACCCCUCAGAUAACCUGUGGUUACUGUGAAAAAGUCAAUCAUACCGCAAAUGAGUGCUGGAGAAAGGAGGGCAAGUGCCUCAGGUGUGGAAGUGCUGAGCACCAAAUUGCUAAUUGUCCUAAGAUUUCCGAGAAUGGGGAAAGCCAAGGAGGUGCCACAAUUUCUAGGCAAACUACUUCUGGAGGGAGUCGGCCAAAGGUUCUGGCUAGGGUUUACGCCCUAGAUAGUCAACAUGUACCUGACCCUUCGGAGGUAGUCGAAGGUACACUUCCAAUCUUUCACCGAUUAACUAAGGUUUUAAUUGAUCCCGGUGCGACCCAUUCAUUUGUUAAUCCUGCUUUUAUGUGUGGAAUUGAUGUAAAACCUGUACGAUUACCCUAUGAUUUGGAGGUUAGGACUCCUACAAGUAACAAGAGCAUACUCACUAGCUUAGUUUAUCAGGAGUGUAAAUUCUGGAUUAGGGAACGAAAAAUACUAGUUGACUUGGUGAGUUUGGACCUUAAGGGGUAUGAUGUGAUGUGAUUAUAGGAAUGGAUUUUUUGUCUUACCACCAUGCGAAGCUAGAUUGUAGAGCUAAAGUGGUGGAAUUUUGCAUCCCAGGUGAGGCAACGCUUAAGUUAGAUGUAAGGGGUAGAUUAGUUUCGUCUGCUUUGAUUUCAGGGAUUCGAGUUAGGAAAAUGCUUUACAAGGGAGCCCAGGGUUUCUUAGCUUUCUUAAUUAACGCCCCUAGUGACCAAGUGAAAUUAGACGAUGUGCCAAUCGUGCGAGACUUUCCUGAUGUCUUCCCUGAAGAAUUAACAUCUUUAUCACCUGAAAGGGAGAUAGAGUUUAAGAUUGACUUGGUACCAGGAGUAGCUCCAAUUUCUAAGACUCCUUAUAGAAUGGCUCCUGCGGAAUUGAAAGAACUAAAGAUCCAGUUACAGGACCUGCAAGAAAGAUGUUUUAUUAAGGAAAGUGACUCAACGUGGGGAGCUCCAGUUUUGUUUGUAAAGAAAAAGGAUAGGAGUUUGAGACUGUGCAUUGACUAUCGAGGUUUAAAUGAGGUGACUAUUAAGAAUAAGUAUCCUUUGCCCUUGAUUGAUGGAUUAUUUGACCAAUUGCAAGGAUCAGUAGUAUACUCUAAGUUAGAUUUGAGACAAGGGUACUAUCAAUUGAGAAUUAAAAAGGAAGACAUACCUAAGACUGCUUUCAAUUCUAGAUAUGGGCACUUUGAGUUUGCAGUGAUGCCCUUUGGGUUGACCAAUGCCCCGGCUGCUUUCAUGAAUUUAAUGCAGAGAAUCUUUAAGAAAUAUCUAGACCAAUUUGUGGUAGUAUUCAUAGAUGAUAUUCUAGUACAUUCUAAGACCCGAGAGGAUCACGCCAAGCACUUGGAGAUAGUUUUACAAGUGUUGAGAGAACAUAAGCUUUACACUAAUUUCAGUAAGUGCGAAUUUUGGCUGAAAGAAAUUUCUUUUUUGGGUCAUAGAAUCUCUAAGAAUGGAAUCGCUGUGGAUCCAACUAUAGUGGAGGCAGUUACUUUAUGGAAACAACCAGAGAAUCCAACUGAAAUUAGAAGUUUCUUAGGAUUGGCAGGUUAUUACCGUCGUUUUAUAAAAGAUUUCUUAAAAAUUGCUGGGCCAAUGACGGAGUUAAUUAAGAAAAACCAUAAGUUCAUUUGGAGCCCAAAAUGUGAAGCGAGUUUUCAAGAGUUGAAGAGGUGUUUGACUACGACUCUAGUGUUAGCCUUACCUGAGGGAGUUGAUGGGUUUGUGGUGUAUUCUGAUGCUUCUAAAGAAGGGUUAGGCUGUGUUUUAAUGCAAAAGGGAAAAGUUGUAGCCUAUGCUUCUAGGAAAUUAUAAUCCCAUGAGAUGAAUUACCCGACCCAUGACCUAGAGUUAGCUGCUGUUAUUUUUGCUUUGAAGAAGUGGAGACAUUACUUGUAUGGGGUAACAUUUGAGGUAUUCACAGACCAUAAGAGUCUUAAGUAUCUGUUUUCACAAAAGGAGUUAAACCUGAGACAGAGGCGAUGGGUAGAAUUCCUUGAGGAUUAUGAUUGUUCAAUCAAUUAUCACUUUAGACGUAAACUCCUCUAAUGGAGUGGGAGGUACCUCUCGGCCGUUUUGGUAAAAGUACUUGCAAUAUUCAUGUUGGAGUCGGGCCCGAAAAUAAGGGGGAGGUCGUUGCUAGGAGACAAGUAGAGUAGGAAAUAUUCUACAUGGAGGUUAGGUCGUGAAAGUUGACGGAGUGUCAACUACCAAAAAUUUCCUGAUCAAGCGCGUGGACUUUGGCUCCUGAAAGCCUCGUAUCCUUUUCUUGUCAUGAUAAUUCGCUUUUUUAAAUUAUUAAUUGCUUACUUGACAACUUAUACUUGUUAAAUUGGCUCUAUGUGAAUUGCAUGUUUCGAGGCACCACUGAGCUAUUGGUUCAUCCUUUCCAAUUUGUUUUCCUUGACAGGUUUCGAAAUGCAAGAAACCUUGGAGAUCUAGAAUAGAAAUGUUAUCUUUGGAAUGCCCACUUUUGUAAUUGUACUUUGGGAAAACUUUAGUAUAUUUUGGAUGACUUUUGUGUCUUUGGGAAAAUGUGAAUCCUGUGGUGCUUCUGUGCCCUGGAUUAUGAACUUUAUAUUGUAAAUUAAGUUGAAAUUAAGUAUUUUAAGUUCGACGUUUUCAUUGGUGUUUGAAUUUUUCUUUUGGACGGGGUAAGUUGAAUGGUACGAUUUGUUUAAGUACUUGGCUUAUUCGGGAGGUAAAGUUUAUUUACGAAUUAUAUUUGAUGAUGUUAGCUAGUUGAGCGAGUGAGUCCUAGCGAGAGUUAGGCAGGCGACCCGCCAACCCUUUGGUUCGCCUUAGGGGGAAGUGGGACCGUCACAUAGUGAAAUUCUUAGAAAUCUCGAGGGAGGUUUCUGAAAUUAUUCCUUCUUUUAAUGUGUGGGGAAAAUGGAAUAUUGUUAAGGUCUUGACUAAGGUCAUAGUUAUUAAACCUGGUCCAAGAGAAACCCGAUGAAAAAAUGGGUCAACAGGUUACAGGUCAACCAGUGGGUGAGUGGUCAAAUUGGUGGGUCACUAAAUGUACUUAAAAGAUUAUGUCUCAUAGUUAUUGAUCUGGUUGAAACUAUAAUAAACUAUGCCAUAGUAAAUGCUCAGUUGGUUCAAUUUAUUAUAGAAUCAUUAAUUCUUAUAAAAAUUAAUAAAAUCUAAAUUUAAUUAGUAAUCCACCAAAUUUCAAGUAUAAAAUUUUAUCUAAGUGUAAUUAUCUAGUUUAUUCACAAAUUUUAAGUGCAAAAGGUUAUUAAGAAUGAUAUUUGCCUUUAAAAUAAAUUGUGCAAUAUAUUAUUUUUUAAAUCAAUUUCAUAACUUAUAGAAUUUGGAGAAUAAUAAAAUUUUAUUAAAAGAUUGCAAACAAAUUUUGUUUUGGAGAAAUAAAAGAAGAAUAAAAAUCUAAUAGAUAAUAUAAGAAGAACCAAACAAGCACCAAAUGGGUCGUUAGUCCAAUGAUAAUUGCACUUUACUUGUAUAUAUGAGGUUCAGGUCCAAAUCAUCACUUCAACAUCUUCUAAAAAAUUUUCACACAAUAACUCGGGUUCCUUACAAAAUCGCCUGAUUCAGUCGAGUUGACCGGUUAAACCGUCAGUCCAUUGACAAGUCAACGGAUUUAUUGCUCAAACGAUCCAUCCAAUUAGCAACCCAAUUCUAUUUCAUGGCCAGUUCACCGAAUUGACCGGUUGAACCGUCAGGCGGGCUGGGUUUAAUAUCAAUUACUUAGGUAGUCCUCAUUUGUCUAUACUCAACAUAAUAACUUGAUCCAUUAUUUUCAAAAAAGAAGGAUCAAUAUAGGACAUCUUUUGAAAAAAAGAAGAAGAAGAAAGAAACUAAUGAAAAAAAACAGACAGAGAGAAACUAAUAGAGAAGUCAAAUAAGUUGCGCGUUCACCUUUGAAACAACAAAUGAAAUAUUUUUUAUUUUUAACAUUUUAACCAAUGUGAUCUUUAAUCUUAUGAUGAACUAUUUUGCCUUCUUAAUUUUGUUAACUUAGAGAAAGUGAUUCUUUUAACGAAAAAUUUAGAAAUUGUUGACGAAAAUGCAAGACCCUUUAAUCGUUAUCAUGCCAUUUGUCUGGAAACUAAAGUGAUUCUUAAAUUUUAUUUAAUUGCAAAUAAUGAAUGAAAAAUUGCCCAAAACAUUUUAGAAUGAAGAAUAUAAUUUUUUUAAUUUUCUAGUUAACAUAUCAAAAGUACCAAUUUUUGAAUGAAAAAUGUUUAAAUUCAUACUUGAAAUUUGUGUUUAACAGAGUACAAAAAUCUAUUUGCAUCAUUGUAAAAAGUUUUAGGUGACUUUUAUGAAUUUUAAAAUUUAUUUACAAUUUUUGAAGGUUUAAGGUUCUUUCCAAACCGAUGGCACAAAAACCCUUAAAGCGUCUUUCGAAUGCAUUAGCAACUUUAUAUUUUCUAUUAAAAGGAUCACUUUGGCUAAAUUUUAACAUUUAGAAAUAAAAAUUGUUGUCAUCAUAUCACGAGACUAUAUUGAUGAUAACCUCAAAGAUGAUGACCUAAAAUUGGUCAUAUAUGAUCUAUAUGUUGUUUCAAUGGAACAUGUUAACUCACUCAUUUUCUCUAUUAGUUUUCUUUGUCAAAGAUCUUACAUUAGUCACUUUUUAUGAAAAUAUGGAAUUAAAUUUGUAUAUGAUGAUUGAUAAGGGACCACAUUUACCAAGUCUCGAGAGGUAAGGGAUCAAAAUGAUACAAGUAGAAAAAAUUAUCAAAAGAUAAGGAACAUUUGAUAUUUACAAAUGUAAUUUUUGAGAAACAUAGGGAUGGAAAAAAAUUAUAGUUCGUGGCCUAUUGAAAACUAUUAUUGUUUUAUCCAAAUGUUCUAAUUAGUCGCCGGCCUAGACGAGUGCAUUACGCACCCGUCUGGAAACCAGUUAAAGUGGCUUGCCACAUUUUAGUAGCAAAUGGUGGGAGGCAAGGUUUGAACCAUUGAUCUCCCACCCCACCAAGCCUUAAAGGAUUUGUUAAUGGCCGCUCAGUGGUUUCAAUAAGAAAAUCACUUCAAUAGUGUAUAAAGUGUAGCACCAAAAGACAAUGGUCUAGUAGUCAAAGUGACUCUAUAGGUCUUAAGGUGCAUUUGAUAAAAUUGAAAUUUGAAAACUAAAAUUUGAAAUUUGAAAUCUAAAGUCUGAAUCUAUUAAUUAUUGAAUUAUUAAGUAUUAAAAUCUUAACAUGUGUGCACAUUUUGCAUUAAGUAAUAAAUGAAUAGAUUAUCACUUAUUUUUUUGAAGUAAGUUUUGUUUAAAAAAUUAAGCGUCACUUAAUUAAUUAAGAUGUUUUGUGUUUGGUUAUCAUAUGCAUUUGAAUAUAUUAAGAUAUGAACUCAUUAAAUUAAAAUACUAAAUUGGAUUAUCAAACAAGAUUUUAGAUUCAAUUCUAACUAUUUGAAUUAGAGGUCUUAGAUUCAACUCUAACUAUUUAUUUCUUCUAUUUCUUCUCCUACUAUUUGUUGAUUUAUUUAGUAAUAUCGAGUGAUUUAUAGAUUUCUUGUAAUAUUAUUAACAUAACAAAAAACAAUAUAAAGUGCACUAUAUAAAAAAAAUGAAAGUACAUAUAUUUUAGUUGAUAGUGGGCUAAUGAAUAAUGACAUGAUCCUAAAUUCCUCUUAAAGAAAAGAAUAGAGAAAAAUACUAAUAUCGAAGAUGAAAAAAAAAGAUAGUCAUAUGAAACUUUACUUGAAGAGUUUGGAAAUAGAAAUUGGGAAGGCUGAAAACAGAUGGACCAAGAAACAAGUAGCAGCAUAUUUUAUUUAAAUCUAUUUCCUUUUUAGUAAAUUUUAUAUACACUAUCAUCAUUGGAUCCAUGAUACAUGUGCCAAAGUUAAAUUUCAAAUUCAAAUUUUACAUAGUUGUUAUUUAUCUAACGUUGAUAGUGUAUAAACUGUCGAUGUAGAAAAGAUUAAUUCAUUCUUUUUAUCAGUUGUCUUCAUUCAAAAAUGACUUGUUUUUCUUUUUCUCUUUGUAAUAUUUCUUUUUGUCUUCUAUUAAUAAUCUUGGUCCAAUUUGCAAUGUUGAUGUAUUUGAUGUUGACAUUGGCCAUUGUAGCAAUAGGACUCUGAAACUAUAUCCAUAAUUCAUAGUGACAUAGAUCGAAUGGGUGCAAUCGAGAUAGUUGCUCUCAUUGAUCCCACCAAAGUAUGUAAUUUAUACAUGUAAUUGUAUCUUUGCCCCUACUUAUAGUUAAAGAAUAUUACCCCUAAUAUCUUUCAAUAAGAUAUUUUUUAACUAUUAUUCUUCGUCUCCACCAAGUCAACAAAUUACAAACAAUAAAUAACCCUCUCCACCUCUCAUAUUUAAAUUAAAAUCAACUAAUAAAGAGCCAACUUUACCUUUAUUGUUCUUCUCCUUUUUUUUUCAAUGCCUCUUAACACACAAAUGUAUUUGAAAUAUUUCCAUAAAUAUUUGCUACAUUUAAAAUCAAAAAAUUUGCUAGAUCUUUCUUCAUUUCAGCUUUAUGAAUAGAGAGAAUUUAUUAUGACUAUAUAGAAAAAGUGGCAAAACCCUCUAUUAAAAAUUUGAAAUUUAGAAAUUGUAUAAUUUAAUAUGCUAGGUUUGUUUCUACUUAACGUACUGAUAGCUCACGAAUAUAAGCUUAAAUCAUAAAUUGAUAAAAAAAAAAUCAUAAAUUGAUAAUAAAAAUAUGAAUAUAAGUUUAAAUCACAAAUUGAUAGCACAAAUAUGAUAAAUCAUAGGAAUGUAGCAAAAAAAACUUUGAAAAGCCAUUUCUUUUUGGCCCUACACUUUUUACAACUCUAUAAAAUUGUUAACAAGAUUUUGAAAACCCAUUUGAGUAUAAAAUGAGAUGAUAUAAAGUAUUUAACAAAAGUUAAAAAAAAUUAGAUUUUGAUAAUCGGGGAUGAUAGAGGUUUUUUUUUUUUGCAAGGAUAGUAAGGUUUGAAUUUUAGAGUGCAUAUUUGGACUAUUUUAGCUUGAUCUCUUUCAAUUUUGUUGUCAUUUUCAGAUGUAAUCGAAGGCAAAGAAGGAAGAUUUUGCGAGACUCAGGAAGGAUUUGUCGUUUAUUCGGUUGUCCACUUUUUGUUACUCUUUUAACAUUUAGUAGUAUAUUCUAUGAUUGCAAAGUAGUUUUGCCAUGGUUGUUAAGUUAUUUUGCACUUAUUGUUACUCUUUAACAUUUAGUUGUACAUUUUAUAAUUGUAAAGUAAUUUUGUUGUGGUUGUUAAGUAAUUUUAGCAAACUUACUAAUUAUUGACAUUUAAUUAAAUAUAGACAGCAUAUAUAUAUAUUUUUUACAGCAAACCCUGUACACGGGGGAGGGAUGCCAGCCCCAAGUUUUAUUGCAAACAAAACUUACAAAAUGGUAGAGGGAUCAACCUCCCCAAAUUUAAGUCUACACUUAGUGCACAACCUAUCCCUCCUCAUUUAACCAUCGAACACCCGGCACCCCACGUGAGUCAAGAAUAAGAGAAGCCCGAACGAUCGCCGGCAGUUGUUGAACAUGAUCAUAAACCCGUACGCCUACUGCCCCAAUAGCCACUAACCUAUCUGCAGGUAAGUUUGCCUCACGGAAAAUAUGUGAGAUGGAGGCCGAAAAGCCCUCCAGAAGACCUCUAACUUUCCUCAAAAUAUUACAUAAUGGUCACUUAGCAAUUACCCCAGAGACAACCAACUGCACCAAGGCUUUGGAAUCCACCUCUACCAACGAAGGACGAAACCCCCUUUGUAAACACAACUGCAGACCAAACAGUAAUGCCAUACUUUCUGCCUCCAACACAUCCUGUUCUCCAAAUUCUUUGUAAAAAGCAAAAAUCAAUUUCCCCUGACAAUCACGCACUAGUCCACCACCCGUGGCCUUACCAUGAUUCACGCUGGCAUCCGAGUUGAACUUAAGCAAACCAGGUGGCGGUUUCUCCCAGGCAAUCACACAAGGGGUCCUCCUCCGAGGAAGGGCUUUGAUUAAUCGUAGCAAAUCACAAUCUGCAUCCCCCGUGAAGUGCGACCGACGAAGCUUAUUUGCCCUCCCGAGCUGUUCCAAAAAAUAAUUCACUUCGCGGAUUAUCUUUUCGACCUCCCAUCGCACGCCUUGAUAACGCUCCUGGUUCCUUGCUAACCAAAGAAACCAGCACACUACAAUUGGCAUGAAUGCCCGAAUAUGGUUUUUCGAAGAGGAAGAUGAAGUUAGGUACCAAGAGACAAAAAAAUAGACAUCAUAUAAUAAUCUUUUAGUGAGUUAAUUUCAAAAUACUCACGUCAAAAAUGUAUUUUUUUCACUUUAUUUCUUCAAGUUUUAACUGGAUCAAUUACUAUCAGUACAAUAGGGUCGAUAUCUCUCUAAAUUGCUUUUGUGUGAAAUUCACUUGCUAGUACCACUUUGAAAAGACUAAGUUGUCCUAAAAGUAGUCAAACUUGAUUGCAUUCUUAUACUAUCCUAAUACAGAAUAUUUUUGUAUACAACUAUAGUAAAUAUAAAAAUGAAUAAAAGUCUAAAUGGACAAUGUAUUUUCAUGCCUUCUACUUAUAGAUAAGGUCCAAUUUUUUUUUUAAAUAGCAUAUGAACUACUACAAAUCUAGAAAUCCAUUUUUAUAAUUUCAUUUUUCUAGAGAAAAAAAAAUCGUAACAUAUGGAAGAGAUGAAAGGACCAUUGUGGGUGUAAUCUUUUUUGCUUUAUAUUUAUUUGGUUGAAUAUACAACAGCUGUACAUAUGGGAUUUGCUCGACUAAGUAGUGUCUUAGGAAUGUAGUCAAGGCUAAUUUAUUUGAAGGUAAUUUAGUUUGUUCAAAAGUAACAUGUGCUCUAAAAUGAUUAAUCUAAAUGAUUAAUUUAAAGACAAGUAGGUUAACUCUAUUGGUUGUAUCGAAUUGAGAAAAUUUGAAUGCAUGAGGAAUGGAUGGAUCCAAGUCAAUAAUCAAGGAAGAAGCAUUUUUAGAGGGGUCAAUUUGGAAUUAAUUAUUUUUAAUUUAUUGUGUAACUAGUUUUGUACCCGUUCGUUGAACGGGAAUCUUCGAAAAACAAUAAAUUAUUUAGUCAAUUUUAUAAAAAUGUUGAUAUGAAAUACAAACUUAAUGUAUAUUUUACUAUAACCUUUCUUAAGUAUAUUACUAUAUGCGCAUUGUAAUAUAAAGUAUUCUUAUAAUAUAAAUUUGAACAUCUAAUUCAGUAAAUAAUAAUUUAAAAAUGGAAAAAAUAACAUUCGACAAUACCAUAACAUUCAAAAACUUGAAAAUAAAUAAAAAGUGCAGUAAAUAGUAUCAAAUAAUAUUCUACUCUUCAGAAACUUGUUUUUGUUUUUCUUCUGUUUGAACAUUCUCCUCGAUUUGUCCGUGUAAAUCAGCAUUUAUUGAUUUUCCAUUAUCACUGCAUGAUAGCAAAGCAGGAUAACUAAGUAUAAAAAAAUAAAUGAUUUAUCGCAUUCAAGAUUGUGUAUAACAACACGUAAAUAUUAUAAUUUAAGAAAGUAAAAUAGUAUAUUAAAUCUACCUUCUCAUGCAAAUCUUUUUAUAAGGAUUCCCUUCCUCUGUGGUUUUUGUUGAACCCUCUGAUGAAUGAUUCAUAUGAAGUGUAUUGAAGUGUUGUUGAUUAGAAUCAUCUGUUAUACUAAUUGAGAUCUGGGAAGAAGAUGCUUCACGUUGGUAUUGGUUGUCGGUUCCACCAAUCUGAUAAUAAUUUAUCAAAAUUAAAGGCAAAAAUAUUAUGUGAGAUAUAAUAUGUGAAAUAUAAGAGAAAUUUAUUACUAAUUCAAGAUAUAUUACUAAUCCUAUGUGUUCAUAAAAAAACAAACAGAAAAUAAAAAAAUAAAUAAAAUUCAAGAUAUAUUACUAAACUUUUACAAUUGAAGAUCAAUAUGCCUUUUUAAAAAAAAAAUAUAUUAAAAGAAGAUGUACCUGAUAAUCAAGAGGAGUGAAAACCCAAAAUCGAUGUUUUAAUGUGCCAACCGCUUGCACUGAAAAUACCUAACCAUGAAUUUGAUGCUUGAAAUCAAUAUAUUAGAGGCUAUAUGUAAUGUAGGCAUAAGAAAUAAGAAUUGAUAAGAAUAUAAAAAGAUAUUGAUAAGAACAUUAAAUGUAGGUUUAUCUUGAUUUAAGUUGUUUAAACUACGUAACUUUGGGUAAGAAAUAAGAAUCUUAUAAUAUUAAGAAUUAUUAUAGGAAAUAAAAGUGCGUUCUCAAGACCGAUUUUACCUACUUUGAAAGACCACCUCAACUAUAUCGAGUCCUUUAAGCGCAUGGACUCCUAUGGUGUGGGCCCAUACACUAAAUACUCUUCACCAUCUGAGCAGGGAUGUAUUGUGAAUCCUAUAACCUAGCAAUGAGUAUAACCUGCAUGUUUUGAUUAACAACGAACGGGUUUAUAGGAAUUUACAAACCCGUGCUCAAAUAGGAAUUUAUAUUUGACCGUACAGGUCAAAUACAUAUAGUUAAUUGGAUUCAAUUAACUUUUUCUUUUCCAUAAAUUUCGUGCUAUGCACUAUGUCUUGAUAACACACUUAAUAAUAAAAUUUAUUAAGAAUCUUAUUUCCAACAUCAGAUAUUGACUUCUGUUAUUAAUGGUUCCUUUUGAAAUUAGUUACUUUUCUAUUUCUUCUAGUGAUAACAAUUCUUAUUUACUUCGGUUCCCUAUGCAGUACACAAAUUAUUGGCAUGAAGUUGGAGAUAUAUCUAAUAGAGAUAUUUAUGUCUCUUUUAUUUAUAUCGCAUUAAUUGCCAGUUCCAUUUUUGGGUAGGAAAUAAGAAUCAUAUAAUAUUAAGAAUUCUUAUAGGAAAUAAGAAUUGAUAUAUAUCUAAACAAAAAAGGAGCAAGUCACAUAGGAAACUACUUGCCGUCUCGUUAAGCCACGUAGGAAAGAGAAAAUAUGAAAGGAUAAGAAUGGGGAUACGACUUUAUUAUAUAUAUAUAUAUGAUACUCUCUUACUCGUUCCCAAUAUUUCUCAAAAAGGUAUAUCUUCUUUUUAUAAAUUUUAACUUUUAACUUUUCCCUUCCCUCUCCUUCCUCCUUCUUUUUUAAGGAAAAGGAGGUGUUCUUGAGGGGAUUAAUGAGUAAAAACAAAAGGAACAAGAAGAAAUAAAAGAAAGUUGUAAUUAUUUAUUAUUUAAAAGUUGAAUUUGUUAGCACUUAUUUUCUUUUAAUCCCAAUCUGCAAGUUAGCUUGUGUCAUAUUUAAAACUUGCAAGUAGAUUUUCUCUUUUAAAUUGAUAUUUGAGUUCAAGGUUGGAAGGGACUAGAUUGUAUUUGGAUUGAGAUCUUACAUUGAAUUUUGAAAUGGAUUAAGUUUGAUCCUAAACAAUAAUGUGGAUUUAUACGAAGGUCUACAAGAAUAUUCUUGCGAGUACAUAUUUUCUUUGAUAUAUUUUAUACUUCCUUCUUUAUCUUUUCCUCCAUGUAGACUAAAAAGUGUCUCUCUUUUUUGUCAUUGUUAUAAUUUUGUUGUAGUCUUUUGUGAUAGCAUAGAACAAAGUUAGUCUUUAAGUGACAACAUGUCAUUACAUAAUUUUGAAAAAAAAUGUGAAAACAUAGGAAUCUUAAAUAGCACAAAUUCGAAUCAAAUAGUUAUAAUAAGUGUUGCUAUAAUUGGGAUUUGAAACCAUGACAAUUUUGUGACAAUAUACUAUUUCUAUGAUAAUGAUAUAAAUCUAAAUCUAACAAAUCAAUAUCAUGAUAAUCAAAGGGUAAUUUAGUUCAAGUAUCAAGAAGAGAGUGGAUUGGGGUUCAAUUGCCACAUUCAUUGUACUUUAUUUUUUGAAGAACAAUAUAUCUAAUAUUUAAACCAUCGUGUUUUCAAGCAAUAUUUGAUGUAAUGGAAACUAGAACAUCUAUUCUAAUUUUAUAACACAUACAAGUAGUCUUUCAACUUCAGUGUCAUAAUUAACUAAUACAAUUGAAAUUAGAGUAUUAUGAAUUUUGCAAUCUAGUAUUACUUGGUGAUGAAUUCUUGUAAAAUCUAUACGCUUUGAUAUUAGUUUAGAUAUUCAUGUUGAUCAUUUUUUUUCUUGAUAUAAUCUUUUUUAUCAUAUUUUUAAAACUUGCUAUUAAGAGUAAUUUUGAAUUUUUGAUGACUAUAUUGCAUAACGUUUCAAUCAUUUGAUAUAAAAUAUAAAUAUCAACUUAAUUUUAUGAAAUAUACAAACAUACAUAUGGAUGUAUACGUGUUAUGUGAUAUCAUCUAUAAACAUGUAAAAAAAUUAGUAGAUAUUAGAUUGAGAAAUAAGCAUAUUUGGAAGUAGUAUAAGAUAAAUAUUUGGUCUAUCGUCAUUUAUAUAGGUUGUUUUAUAAUAAUCCACAUCAUAAUAAUAAAUGAUGGGCCAAUCUAACAAUAUGUGUGCCUUUCAUACUCACAACUUCAAUUCCUACUUAAUUAUGGGUAGGUAGUUAUUGUGAAAAUAAUUUAUUUUAUAUUAAUUUGAUGGCCAUAGAUGUGAUUUUCUUUUAACAAAAAAAAAGUAGUGGAAGCUUAGGCAAAACUCAACUAUUUUAUUAAUAAACAUGAAUAAGAUCAAAAAGUAGCAGCAAGUUUGCUUCAGGAUAGAAAAGCUAUUGAAUGCUAAUAUAAACACACUGCAAAGGUUGAGAUCCUAAAACUUAGAGGUCCUGGGUUUUAAUCCCCCUACCCUCUUCUCAUUUUUUAAAUCCCACCCUUUUCCUGCUAGAAAUUUUUUUUUAAAAAAAAGACCAAUUUAGGCAUAAGAAGUAGACUUUGUUACUGUUUAACUAAUAUGAUUAUAUUCUUUAUGAUUGUUUAUAAGUAUAUAUCAAUAUACAUGUUCGUGUAUGUACAAACACAAUAAUAUAAUUACACUCUUUAUGAUUAUUUGUAAGUAUACAUAUCAAUGUACAUAUUCAUGUAUGUACCAAUACCUAUAUAGACAUAUCUCAAAUAAUAUCUAGAACCUUAAUUACUUACCAGAUAACUACGUUGGAUAUCUAGAACCUAAUUCAUUUGAAACUUCUAUUUUAUUUUUAGUAAAUUUAUUACUUCUAAGAUUGUGAUAUUAUUCCAAAACAUAACAUGCUUUAUUACUUGCAUUCCAUAGUUGUCAAGAUAUUUGUUUAAUGAGGCAAUAUUGCAUAAAAAUAAACAAAAUGUAAACUACUAAAAAAAAAAGAAACUACUAAUAUGUUUCCUUGUUCAAGUAAAAUUGGCAUUUGAUCAUUAUUUAGUAUAUUUAGAAUUUACUAACAUUUAUUAGGAGACAAAGUCUAAAUCUUGCAGUUUAAAGUUCAUAGUUCAAUGUUUUUACUUCUAUUCACAUUAAGUUGUGGUUGUCAUUAACAUCUUAAUUUGAUUUGAUCUUAUAGGUUGAAGUACCAAUAUAUAUACUUGUAUAGCAGCUUGCUCUAUUGCUUAUUCCGUAUGAUUUUUUCUCUAGUUGUAUGAGUAUUGUCAGAAGAAGUGAUUGCAAUGUAAGUAUUACUAGUAUAUUACUUAUGUUUGAAACCAUUUUUUCUUUGUAUUAAGUCAUGAUUACUUUUUUCGUGCACAUUUUUUUUAAUGGUAAAAUAAGUUAAAAUUGCAUUUUGUUGCACGGUAACAUUAGUGUUUAUAAGGCUUAUAUGUCUUCUAUAUAGUUCCUUAGUCUGUCAAUUUUUAGAGUUUCUCAAAUUUGAAACACUAUAUUGCAAACUUUCUAUAAAUUAGUGUAAUAGUUAUUGAAAAAUUGUGAGGUACAUUUAACAAAUCUAUACAAAAGAUUACUUGAAAUUUGUGUACUUAAUGAACUAUGACUAAUAUUAAAUUUCAAAAGACUUCUUCUUUCUAAAAAAGGCGUAGUUAGGGUAAUCUCAAUUGAGCGUUAGCUUUGUCAAAGUGUGAACGUGAAUUUCCUGAUAGGUAUCUAACUAUUUUCUCACAAGGUAAAAAUAUAUUUUAGAAAAAAAUGCCUUAAGUAGUUUGGAAUUUUCUUUUAUUUUCAUAUUUUCUUCUUUCUUGUCUCCUCUUUCCGUUCAAAUCUUUCAAAUUUAUCCUACUUCCGAAAUCAUUUGUAACCCCUGAUUUUCCUUUCAUCAUCUUCCUAGAAUACUAAGAGAGAAAAAAGUCAAAAAAAAAAAAAAUUAAACCACAAAGAAAAGAAUAUGAUAAAUAGGAAAAAGGAGCUUGUUGACUAGUUUAGUGCAUUUUGCUUUUGAAAAAGAUUGAUGCAUUACUAUAAUGUAGAGAUGUGAGAUAGGUAGAAAAAGAAAAACAAAAGGAAAACAAAAGACAAAAGAAAAUACAAAAAAAUAAGUGAAAAAUAAAAAGAAUUAGAAGAUGAAGAGUCUAAAAUUUUGAGAGCAUUUUAUUCUAUGAUGAGUCAUUAUAAUUAGAGGGAUUGAUUACCUCUUAAAAACCAAUUAAGGAAAGUUUAACUUUGUUGUCAUUUUGUCAUGCAAAGUUUCUAUAUAUUUGUUAGUCACUAUACUAUUAAUCCAGUCAUAUCCUUUGUGAUUCUUUUCUAAUAAAGUUAUGUGAUAAAAAUAUUCCCUCAAAAGUAUCCAAAAUUGUUUUACAAUACAGAGAAACUUUAGACUUUGACACAUGUUACAUUAGAUAACAUUUUAGAUAUCAAACAACCAUUGUCAAAAUUUGACAAAUAUAAAUACAUAAAUUCAUAAUAUAUGUGCAUGCACAUAUAGGUAUGUAGAUAUUUAUAUAGAUAAAUGUCUGUCAACACAGGUGAUUGUUAUGGUCUAUACUACAUCAACAUGUACAUAACUAAUGAUGGUUUCACUAGCUAAAAUUUUCACAUACAAACUAUUUGAGCAUGAAUGUAUCAAAUAGAACUUGAAGACUGCCAACUAGAUGAAGACUGCCAACUAGAUGAAGACUACCAACUAGAACUAGUUAAAGCAAUAUUGUUCUUAUAUAAAAAUAUCAGAAAUCUGCACCUAUUUGUAAGUAGUGCAUGGUAAAAUAAUUAACGACAGUAAGAAUUUUUACUCAAUUGAGAUAACUACUUUUCCCUACAAUGGCUAUUAAUGUUGUACUUAUAGGUAAUGCAAACUUUUCCACACGAAAAAUCUUAUAUUAUAGAAAUAAGUCGACGUAUAUUUAAACUUACUAUUGUAUAAUAUAUGUCAAUUUAGGUUUUUUUAUCUUUCUUUUUGAAAUUCAUAUUUAGUACCUUGAAUCAACUAAUGAAUUGGCACUUGUUUCUUGUUGCAAAGUACUAGAAAUUAUUAUAAAUUUUGUAAUUUUAUAUAGUGGUAGAAGCAUUAUAACUAAUGCUAGAUCUAUCUCAUUCCAAGAAUUUGAAGUUUGUGAAGUCAAUGCACUUGCUACUUUGAAGGUAAAUGUAAUUAAGUAUCAAAUGUUGGUUACAUUUAAAAUCCUAAGAAGUGUUAAAUUAAUUACUCUGUUAACAUUGUACUCUUAGUAUCUAUCAUGGUAUUUAUGAUGCAUAUAUGGAAGGAUUUAUCUUAUAUUAUUAUUAAGUGUAAGAAAUUUUUAGACAAGUGUAUUGAGUAAUAGUAUCAAUUCCAAGAUUUUUUAAUUUUAUUAAAUGUUGUGACAUUAAUUUGGUAAUAUUCAAUUCUUAAUUUGGAUAAUAAUUCUAAAAUCUAAUGUAAUACUUUUUUCUUUUUUUAUUUGUAUAUAUAGUAUUAUGUGACUAAAUUAUUUAUUUUGAGUACUGAUACUUUUUUUUAUUUGAGAAACAUGACACAACAAGUGAAACCAAGUCAAAGAUUGAUGAAAUUGCUGUUAAUGCACAUUGCUUGUCAAAAAUAGAUGUUUGGAUCCUUCAGUUUUUCAAAAACUAGUUUUUCAAAUACUAUAAAAUUUUUUAAAAUGUACUCUAAAAGGUAUUCUAAAAAGUAGUCUAAUUUUUUUUUAAUGUUUAAAAAAUAUCCCAAACUAUAUUUUAAAAACUCUACUACUCUUAAAUUUUUCAAAAUAUUUUCAAAAAGUAUCCCAAAAUAUACUCUAAAAACUCUGCUACAGUAAACAUUUUCAAAAACACCCACAAAAACAACUAACCCAAACGAAUACUAAAGACAGCGUCAAAAUGGCACCAUAGACAAGGUAAUUUGUUAAACUAUUCAUGUAUAAUAUAUAACCACUUUAUACGGCAUCAUUAAGGAUAAACAUACUACAUUAAUUGAGAACUAUCUAAUCCAAUAUUUCAUAUUAAGUCAUAUAUAUGAAUGUAAGAGCACACAGUAUAAAAAUUUAUUUUAGAAGUCACAAUUAAUUGUUAGUUUAUACCUAACUUUCUUCUCAUUUUACUUAAUCAAUUUGUUAAUGUACUCUUUUUUACAUGUUAAAUUGCUAUGUCAUUAUACAUUUAUUAUAACUAUUCAUGUGUUUUAUGACAAUUUUACUACCAUCUGCAAACCAACUUUGUGUAUAGACCCCUACUUAAAGUUACAAUUUCAUUGAACAUGAGAAACCUCCUGAUCAUUCUAUUAAAAGAACUAAUACAGAGCCAAUGACAAGUAACAAGGUAAGUUGAAUACAUUUUUUUUUAUAUUUUAAAAGUUUUAAUCACUUUCAAAAUUAAGAAAUUUACACGAAUAUCCAAUUUAUAAGGCUCCUCAAGAAGAAUAAAAGGAUCCUCAUUACUAACAAAAAAAGAGGUUGCCUAUUAUGAAUUUCCUAGUGGAACUAUCAGUCGAUUUACAUCUGCACCAAGUGACCAUGAGAAAUAUCAAAAUAUGGGUGCACAAAUUAUUUUUUAUACUAAAAUUAAAAUUCUAAAAGUAUCCUUCAAUAUUGAAACUAUAAUUCUAAAAUUCUCAAUGAGUGUAGGAAACAAAAAAAGAAAGAGGGAGGAAAAUCUUUCCAUUCAAGAUGGGCAGAGUUCUCAAAGUACUAGUUCAAUUUCAAAUGUGCAGGGUCCAUUCAAGGUGGGAGUUUUGAUUGUUCACCGUUCUCCUCUCUAUGAUUUUGAACCAAUAUCCAAAAUCUAACUAAUAUAGAUAAAGAAACAAUCAAAACAAUUGGAGUUGGGAUGUAAUCAUUAGCCAGUAAUAUGGCAAAACAAUGGAGUAUUUUGACAAAAGUUGGUAACUGAAUAUAUGUAAACCUCUCUAUUGGAUUUCAAUGAAUUUUUUCUAGGCUAUGCAAUCGAUUGGAGUGCUAUUUUAUAUUAAUUUUUUUAUAAAAUAGUUUACAAUGACAUACGUACUUUCUUGCCACAGAUUAGUACGUUUUUCUUUAGUACUUUUAUUGGAUACAUAACUAUAUAUGUUGUUUAACAAGGAAAAUGAUUAUGAAGAAUACUUUUAAAAUUUCUUUGAACAUGCAGGGAUUUGCAUAUUUGAGUAGCUUAUUUGACGCAUAAUCUACACGUAUAAAAUAGUUUAUAUUCUAUUGCUAGAAGAACUGUUGUGACUAUAUCUUAUAUUGGAUAAAAUAUAUUAUUUUUCUUAGAAUAAACUAGAGACUCAAUAUCUAAUACUAGUGAAAUAUCAGGAGAAAAGGUUUAGCACUCUUUCUUGAUUUUGUGAGUAGUCGUUUCUAAUAUUUUAUAUGAGUUUCCUAAAACCCUUAACUUACUUUAGAUAUGAAUGCCAUAGAGCUUUCUUUAGUAGUGUAUAAAGCUUCAAACUAGAAAGCAAGUAAAAUACAAAAGCUUUUCCUUGUAAGAUAUGCAUUAAUCUUGGAUAUCUUACAUGCAUUGCAUUUAGAUCAUUGCUUAAGUAAAUUCUAUUAACUUAGGUGACUUUGUUUAAUUGUAAGAGAACUGUAUCUGAUUUUAACUUGUUAUGUGAGUCAUUAUAGGCAAAUGUUAAUCGCACUCUAUUUUUUUAAAAUAAUAGCACUGCUAUUAUCAUUUUUAUCAUAUAGUUUUCAUUUAUUAGAUUAUAUGACAAAAAAGAUAGUGGAACUGGCAUUAUGAAAAUGUGGGGUGCGAUUAACAUUUCUUUAUUGUAUUCAUCCACUUUCUUGUGUAACAAACUAAUUUGGUUAGUUUGAAAUAUGGAUAGCUAAUUAUAUUAAGAUAGUUAUUUUAUAAAAGGGAUAAUUUCAGAAACCUCUCCUGAGGUUUUUAAUAAUUUCACUUGGCUCCCUUAAGGUUUCAAAAAUUACACUUACCUCCCUUUCCCAUUUAAAAUGACAACACUAACCUUAAUAUUUUUAAUAAAAUUCUUUUGUUGCCAUGUUUAUGCAAAGGAUGGAUUUUAUAAUUUUUUUUACCUUUUUCCUUCUUAUUCAUUUCUCUUAUAUUUCAUUAGAAGUAUAGAAGAACUGUCAAUGUUGUCCCUAAUAUCUAUCCAAAUGAAACAUUAAACUAGUAAUAUUUUUUUGAUAACUUUUAAUAUCCUUCAAUUUUUUUGUAGCUCUUUUAUUUGGUAUCAAAAUCAAGGAUAAGUCAACAAUGAUUAAAAUCAAAUGGCCCAAAAUCACUACCAAAUUAUGAUAGUUCCACCGCUAAACUAGUCCAUAAAUUUUUAUUAAAAAAAGUCCAUAAACUUAAAAAAAAAAACAAAAUAACACUUUCUUCUCUAUUAUAAAAGAAUUUAUAUUCCCAGUAAAGCACUAUAAAAAAUACCAUAUUACAGCAAAGGUUUAUUAUUAUAGUUGAUUAUCAAAUAACAAAUAUUGGCAUGAAAAACUUGACACUCUUUUUGUUUAGAAAAACAAAUUGUACUUUGUAAGAUAAGGGCAUUUUAGGGUAUUCAUUAAAAUUUUGACUAUAUUUUAAAAUUUGGUUACCAAAGUGUCAAAUCAAGGGAGGCAAGUGUAAUUUUUAAAACAUCAAGGGAACUAAGUGAAAUAGUAAGAAACCUCAAGGGAGGUUUGUAACAGCCCCACUUUCCCCCAAGGCGAACCAAAGGGGUUAGCGGACUGCCUGCCCAGCUCUCGCCAGGACUAACGGAUCAGUUGACGUCGAUCUAAUACGUUCCGGAACAUACCAACGCGCGCAAACAAGUCAAAAUCACAAACAAAAAAAAAACGAAAAUCAAAGCCGAUGAUGAACAGUACCGGCCACGUCAGAAUCCGGAUACUAGGCCGAGAGUAGCCAAAAUUUUCUUUUGCCGUUUGAAAUACGAGUUAAUCCGAAAUCCAACCAAAUGUCAACCAAACAUAUAUACAUUGAAAUGUAACAUUUACAAGCCAAAAGCCAAAGCGGCAUAUCAAAACGAUUCAUCAUGGAUAUACAUGUUCAGUUUGCCAAUCAAAAGAAAUUGUACCCAAUACACAUUAGGGUUUCGAGCUAUUCAAAAGACAUUUACAUGAGCUCAACUUGACAACCAACUAACACAACCUUAUCCAAAAGUGGUCAUUUCCUGUAAGGAAAACAAAUGGAACGGAAUGAGUUUAAGCCCAGUGAGUUACUACCACGUAAGCAACAAAGAGCAUAUAGCAUAACCUUUCAUUUCAAGUACACAAUUAAAGAAUAAAACAAGUCGGUAAAAGGAUACGGACGGCUCUCAAGAGCCCAUUUCCACGCUUACAUUCUUGAUCCAAUCUCAUUGACUCUCCGUCAACGUUUAUGAGUACCAACCGUAGAACCCACUUCACUCCCAUCCCUUCCACCAAACAUACCCCAACCGGGCCCGCACUCCAAUCAGUAGCUUUUGGUAAUACUCGAGUUUACCGGAAUCAAGAGUCUCAUUACUACAAGAUUCCCCAGUACAGUCCCCGUGGCAUGUCAAUUUUCACGACCAAGCCCCCGCCGGCUCGAUUCAAUUGACUACCAACGGGGUUGAGCUCAGUAGUACAGUAAGGCCGUUGGAUACUCGUCCAAACGACACCAAAUCAGUUUUUCAUAAAGUGAAUUCAAUAUCUCAUAUAGCAAGUGCAGUAUAUCAGUGAAGCGGUAAACAGUCAUUAACGGUAUCACAAGGGGUGAGGGCGGUCAAGUACACUCUCACCUCAAUCAAUUCCAAUAGCCAAAUAAGCCUUCAAGGCAUCAAAAUCACAUAUAGCAAAGCCACAUUGUAACAUUCAAGUGAGUAGUAUACUCACUUAUCAAUUAAGUGUUGUUUCAUGCACUUCCGUCAAGAGAAUGUCGUGAACCACCGUCACGCCCUAGAACACGUAAACAAGUACAAUGAGACUCGAUAACGAGUCAUAAAGCAAUGCCAAUCACAACUCCAAUAGGGUUUCAUAUGCAUAUACAAGUAUCAUAGGUAACCAGAAAAUCCGGAAAUGCAAUUAACUUUGGCCCUGGAAAAAAAACAGUUUUGUCCUCAUUAUGCGGUAAUGGCACAAAUUGCGCUACGCUUAUCGGAUGAGGGUACAAGACCCACCAUCUCGAAGCUAAAAGACAAGGCUACAACAAUGUAGAAGGCCACUCAGUCCAAAUCCUAGCACAACUAGGUCAAAUAUGCAAAAUACCAAACCAGAACCUUAAUUGCAGGUUUACAAAUUACACUAUGCUGUAAUUAGUCCAACUCAGUCUAUACAAGUCCAAAUUCAUUGAUUCCAAAGGCAUAUGGUAACUAAGACAUCAAGCUACAUUUCAUCAGAAGACCUCAACAACCAAAUCCAAAGCAAUUCCAGUCAAAAUAGCCAAUUACAGGCGCAGUUCGGCCAUCCUGAAGAACCCAGAACAGCAACAGUAAAAUUGACUUUUCUCACCCUACACAACUCCAAUGAACCUGAAAUUUUACAGGCACCUCAAACACAUCAAUACCUACAACUUUCAUGUUUUAAUCCAAGGCCAAUUCGGCCUCUAACCAUGAGAUACAAAACCGGACAGAAUUGGGGAUAUAAAACCCUAACUUUCUCAAAUUCCUUCCAAACCCAAAAUUGCUUGCAAUAACCAAUCAUGUACACCUACUAUAGUCAUUAACCAUCAUUUCCAACCAUCAUAGAUAGCCACAACAUCAUGAUCACAUUAAACCAGAAAAUUCAUCAAUAAAUGGAAAACUUCACCAAUUCAUCUCAAACCAAGAAAUAAACCACAAAAUCAUCACUUUAGCUACCAUUAAGCACAACUUAAGCUUCAUUAAGUGUAGGAGGAAGUUCAAACACCACUUACCUAGAACACAAGAGAGGGAGAGUUGUAGGACACCUUAGCUUCCUUGAACACUUCCACAAAAUCACUUACUAGCACCAAAUGGAGGGAUUUUAUGGAGUAGAAACAAAUUUAAGCAAUUGGUUUGGAUGAUUUGCACUAGAUGGUAGUUAAAAUUUUGAAGAGUUCUCUUCCUUCCUUUGCUCAAGAGUGCCGACCAAGAGGGAGAAGAAAAGAGUGAAUUUUGGUGAUUUUUUUGAGAUAUUUCAUCACUUGGUAAGACAAGUCAAAAAGUGAAUAGUUGUCAACAAAGACAACCAAUGGCCAUGUGACACUUGUCACUCCAUAAAUGCAAGUCUAUCCUUCUUUUCCCUCUCACAUCAAUCACUUCACCUCCUCUACUUAUCUCUUAAUACCCGAUAAAUUUCAACCAGUAUCCGAAACUCAACCUAAUUGGCCGAAUUUUUCCGAACUUUUCGCACUAGUGGGGCCCACGUCCGUUAUAUAUCCGUAAUUUUUCAAACACUAUCCAAUACUAGAAAAAUCAUCUAAAAAACUAUAAUUACUCAUAAAAUUCACCAGGAAAAUUUCCUAAGCCAGAAAAUGCAGAAAACAUGCCAUUAAAGGGGAAAAACCCUAGGAAAAUUAUUAGGGAAAAAUUACGGGUUCUCACAAGGUUUCUGAAAUUAUCCCUUUAUGAGGGUAGAAUGGGUUGUGAUAUGGAGAGAGGGAGUGUAAGUGAGAGAUUGUAAUGUCCAAAGACAACUUAGGGGGGGGGAGAGAUGAAUUAGGUUAUUCAUGAUUAGUGUGUUGAAAAUUUAUGUGAACUAACCCUUUGUUUUUAGUUAUAAUGGUCAUUUCUUCAAAUUACUUUCUCAUUUAUUGAAAUAUAGUGAAUUAUUUGACAAAAAAAGAAUAAAACCUUGGGUUGUAACAACAUCAAAUUUUAGUAAAGAUAAAUUCUAAUGAUCAGAUUAUUUAUAGGUUUACUAGAGUAGGUAUAUUUUGUUAUAUUUUAAUUAAUUUAGUUCUAGUGUUGUAUGAAAAAAUUUGGAAGCGAUAGCUCAAGUGCUCACCAAUGUCUCCUAACAACUUUGUUUGGAUCUUUAUUUCUAGAUUUGGAUUUGUUUUUCAUAUUUGAUAAAUUAUUUUUCAUUCUAUAGAUCUGAGAUUAGUUUUCUAUAAUGAAAUGUCGUAUUUGAUUAUUAUAUCUCACCAUUUUAUUAUUUGCAUAAUUUUUUUAUUGACUUGAAAGAUACUACCCCAAAGUAAUUUUAGAGUAAGAUUACCAUAAAAAGAAUUAAAUUUUCAAUGUUUACCAGAAAAAUCCUUAAAUCUUAAAUAAUUAAAUUCUGUAAAAGGUUUUUAAAAAUAAGAUCAUGUGUAGAGAACAUGCAAAGAAAAUAAGCAAAUGACCAAAAUAAAAUUGUACUCAGUAGAUUUACAAAGCAUAAAUAGCAGCGCUGCAAGCCUUUAUUUUUCUUUGUUUUUAGAUAUUGAAUAUAAAAAAAAACGAAAAAAUAUUCCUAAGAGAUGCCAUACAGAGUCAUACAUUAAAUUGAAAUGUCAUUUUUAGAACUUUAAAAGGGCUCCUAUACCAUAUUGUGGAACAUAAAAUUGCAUAGAAUUAAGCAACCAAAAUAUUUAGGAGGGAAUAAGAUCACAACAAAUCAACCAUGUCCUAAUAUUUCCAAACAUGAAGAAAAAUAACCACAAAAUAAAUAUUAUGCAACCUUAUAUUGAGGUAGACUGUUAUAUGGAAUUUAUUUAUAUAUUAGUCAGAUUCUACACAAUGUCAACAUGGGUUUUGAUUUUAGAACACUUGUACAUAUAUAUAUUGUUUUCAGGAUAUGCUGCAUCACAUGGAUGGUUUAUCGUAUAAUGCAAGAGAUUUGGCAUUUGAUUCAAAUCUUUUUUCCUUUUACACUUUGUACAGAACCAUAAUACGAUAAACUUCUUAGCAAACUUGACAUGAGAUAACAAGUUUCAAAGUAUUUCUUCCUCACCAAAUGUACCUUCAUAUAUAUAUAUAUAUAUUCAAGCCUGUGCUUAGAAAUGAAGUAGUAUAUAGGCCAAUGUUUCUCAAUAUGGAUAGAUAACUUGUACCUGGAUUUAUAACUUAAUUUGACAACAAAAUAAAUAAAUAAAAAGAGUAAGAGUGCAUUCAAGAACCAACAAAUAUUAGGGUUCAGUUGACAAUGUAAAAGGAAAUUAACAAAAUCUUUAACUCAAAAACAGUGUUGUUAGACCCAGAUCGAAUUAGUCGGUCCGAUCAAUCUAACCAUGAAUCGGCCUUCUUCCCGACUUGGUAAGUAGCACAAAAUCACUUUGGUCAAAAAUCGGCCAAACCAGGAACCCCGGUUUGACUACUUGAUUUGGUUUUCAAACUUCUCUUUCUUGUUUUUCUCAAAUCUAAUUUGAGUUACCUAAGUUGUAAAACUUUCAUUUAUUCAUAGGAAUAAAAAAAUGCCACCCACUUAGUAUAAACACCAAAAUCACGCACACCCCUGAACGAUCUCUAAAGCAAGAAAUUUUCAUCUCUAUAUUCUUAUUAAUUUAUCAGCAGUGAUUCGAACUUGCAUUAGAAAGCCAUAUUUCCAAUAAAAAGAUCUUGAAUUGGGUAUGAUUUGUUUUAAUUUAUUUUUUCAAAUAUUUUUGGAGGUUGGAGAUACAUGAAUUCACAUUUUUAUAUAUAAUUUUUAGAUGUAUAUUUGAUUGUAAGGCUAAUAAUUUUAGAAUAGUUGGCCAAAAUAUAAUCAAGAACUUAAUUUCAAUAUUUUUGAAACCUAUAAAAAUAUAAAAUAAUUAUGACAUCAACGAGUUUUUGAGAACAGUUGGACUGAUUUGAUCAGUUGACUCUUAACCCAAUAGUUUAGCCGAGUCGCUCUCUAGUCUAAGUUUAACAACAAUGAUAAAAAAGGAUCAAGAUUAUUUUGCAUAAUAUUUAAAGGACUUUUCUAAUGCGUGCCCAUUGGGUACUCGAAACACAUCUAAAAUUUACUUACUAUGCAUAUAUAGAUAUACUAAUAAUUAUUACUUUUCCUUACAUUUAUAUACUACUCUAUUUAAUCUUACCUACCCUUACUUGUAUUUAUUUACUUUCGUUAAUUAAUCUUAUAUUUUCAAAAGUACCUGAAAUAUAUAUUAAUGAUUGGGCACCCAUUAGACAGAACCAUAUUUUAAUUUGAUCAUUCAACUGAUUUCUAAAUUUAUAAACAAUGAUAUAACCCUUGAAUGCUAUUUAACAUAAUUGAUAACUUAUACCCUGAGAGGCAUUAAUUACCAAAUAAAGUGGCAACGGAUCCAAAUCCUUAUUAGUUACAGGGAGUCAAGGAAGAUUUCUGGUAAUGUAUUUGUUGGUGUAGGGCUAAAAGAAGUUAUUACAUUGAAUUUCAUGGAAACAAAGAAGAGGAAGUAAGAAAUUUUAAACUCAAGCAUAGAAGGUUGUUCAAAGAUGUCAAAAAAAGAUGAUGCUAUAAAGCCUGGCUUCCUCCUUCUCCUCUUCUUUUUCUCUCAAAGGCAUUUCUUUUAAGGAGGGAGACCAUUUCCUAUGAAUUUUUCUUUAUUUUGUUUUUCUAAUAAAGUCUCUCCUAAAUUUUCUUACUGAGAGUUUUGUGUUUCAACACAGGGAUUUCUAGUGAGAAUUUUCUAUUUUCAUAAGGGUUCUUAUGGAGAUUUUUGUAUUAUUUUUUCUUAUUUUGUAGUUAGAUCUAAAUUUAUUUUAAAUUUGAGUGUCAAAUAUCAAAUUUUUUUGAAUUUUGGUUCUAUUUUGCCAAAUCUCAUCAUCGUUAUUGGAAUUUACAGCUAUUGAUUAAUAGAUCUGGUGAUUGCAACAUGCGAAAACGGGAGCUGCAGCGAUUUAUUUUUGGAAGAUGAGUUUAAAAUUUGUUGUAUUUUUCAGAUUUGCUCAUAAUUUUUCAGAUCUAUUGAAUCUGUUAAAUUACAGAUCUGUAAUUUCUAAGGCAUGUUUGGCCUGCCACUAAAACAGUUAUGUAAAUCAAAUCGUGUUGGACAACUUCUAGCAAUCCAAUAUUGAAAUUUGCCUUUUAUCCAAAAAAAUAAAGCCUGGCUUUUAGAAAAGAAACAUGUAUACACAGACACACACGCACAUGUAUAUAGAGACACUUUUUGAUUUUCCAGACUCAUAUAAUAGUAGUGAACAUCAAUCAAACAAUUAUAUUUUCUCAAAUAGUUGACCAAUUCCAAAGAAAUUCCUUUAACAAAAGCAAAAUCAUCAAUAGUAAAGAAAAUGUUAUACACCCCACAAUUGACUUCCCUAACUUCUUAUCCGUUAAUCAUAUGCCUUUCGCUUUCCGGCCCCACCCGACGAAACAACCAAUAAUAACAUGUGACUGUCUUGUAGUUUUGAUGCUUUUGUAAUAAGAAUCCUGAUUUGUUCCAAACAAACUUAUUUCAUUCUCUAAUUUCAUAAUCUAAUUAUUCAAGGAGUAUAUUACUUUAUAGAGAUCUCAAUUUCGUAUUAUUGCUUAUCGAUUGGAUAACUGAGUAGUACUAAGCUUACCCCUUCUUUUUUAGCACAUCAGUACAAGUACCCUACACUUUCAGGUAUUAUCUCAAAGUGACUUAUGCCACAUGGAGGUGGCACAUGUUAUGUUCUUUUUUUGGGAAAAGUAGUAGUGCCUGCCAUUUCUUAUAUCAAUGCUUCAAAUAUGAAAAAGAACUAUCUUGCUGGACACAAGCCAAAUGUACUUCAAAAUCUGUUGAAGAUAUGUGGAAGAAUGAGACUUGUCCUUGCCAACUUAAACAAGAAGUUGCUUGUGCUAAUAGUGAACAGAACACAUAUAGUAUAAAGUAUAAACUAUUCGAUGAAACGGAAAAAGAAAAAGAGCCAACUUCCAUUGAUAACUUAGCCCUCAAACGUGGUAUAGAUUGGUAAAUUCCAAGUUUUAACAAUCAAAAAAACACACACACUGAUAACCCUCUCUCACUUUAGCUAAGCAAACUCCAUUCCCAUUCUUGACUUCCCAGCAUUGCUGCUUACAGGAUGAAAGAUUGCACCCAUUAACCUCCAUUACUUCCAUGCAUCUUUCCCGAAUACCGUGCUUCUCGCCUAUAGUGAUUUUCCCUGAAAGUACGAACAGAAACAAAGUAGCAAGAUUAGAUCGCUAAUUAUCUUGCAACUAAAGAAGUAUGUUAAGAAUUACAUCCUCGAAAUUUGUAGGUCAUUUUUCCCAACUUCAAGCUUGAAGAAAUUCAAGGAAGCUGAUUUUCCUGCUUGCAGUGCAAACUAUAUAUUGAGAAAAGAAAUGACCUACCUGAUGAGACCAAGAUGGCAGCUACUGCAAGGAAGCAAAGAAAGUGAUAGGGCUUCAUCUUCUGCCGUACUGAAUUUGCUCCACUGAAUUGCAUGAGAUAUAUAUAGGCACAACCCGCCUCUUGGGAUUUGGCUCGGAAGGUCUCGGAGUAGCCUAGUUAGGUCCCGAGUUCGUGUGUUCGAGUCAUUUCUCUAUCGCUUGUGUAUUCUUGGAGGGCGGGGUGCACAGGCGCAGAGAGAUUAAUCUGACAAAAUUAGGAUAUUUCCCGUAUUGAAAUAUAUAUAUAUAUAUUUAUAUUAGGCACAACCUACGAAAAAAGGGAGACGAGACAGGGACGGUCAUCAGAAGGACCGUCCCUGAACAGUUAACGACCAGGAUUUGGCCCAAAAAAAUUGUACGAUCCAGAUCACUUCUUGUACCUCUUUUUUAACAACGUGUGUGAGGUCCAAAAAAAUUUAUUCUAAAGUUACACGUUCUGCAAAAAAAGUUACGCGGUACGCAAAAUACACAAAAUCGCUAGAAACAGUUGCACCUGCAACCGUUACUGCCCGUGGUCCCAAAAAAAGGUGGCAGGGAUAGGCACCUUUUGCAGCUGUCCACAUUGUACUAAAAUAUUUCAUCACAUGAAGUGGAACUGGUGGCACAAAAGUAUAAAGUUAUUGUUAGGUCUUAUUUUCUUAGAACUAUUAACCAUGUGAAAGUUGGAGAAUUAUGUCAGUUUGUGGAAUGGUCCUGGAGAUAAAUUAAGGGUCCAACUAGUUAAAAAAUAGCAAGUAGGAGUUGUUAAAACUUCAAAAGGAGAUUAAGGGUCUAUUUUGCUAGAGGAUUUUCACAUUCUCAGUUGCCAAAAUUGUCGUCAAAUGAAGCACAAACUAAAAAGAAUUUUGCUCUAGUAUGAAGUUGAGCUCCCACUUAAUCAUAACUAAUAACUCUGAAUGCGGACGCCCAACUUGCAGCUUCAAGUUGCCAAAUUAGUGGAGUCCUAUCAAAGUCUACUUAAAAAAAAGAAAAUUAGUUUAUGUAGCUUAAAUCAAAGUAUGAAAUAUUUUUAUGUUCUUAUGCAGCACAAUCUCAACCAUAAAUAGUAGUUUUUGGAGUAGAAAAAUAUAGUCAAGGACCAUCUAUGAACAUAAUUGAAACUAUUACUAAAUAGGAAAGGAUUCUUAUAAGAGGCAGGUCUUGCUUUGCAAAAGGUCAUCAAUCUUAAAGUAUCCUCAAUUCAAUAGAUGAGUGAUAACAUAACAUUUUGUUGUGAACCAACCCUUUUUUUUUUGUGUUCAUCAUGUGCCCUUGGGGCAAAGAAUAGCAGAAACCAAUUAUAAGUGCCUUUCUGCAAAUUUUCUCUAUACGACGUACAACUAUCUACUCCAAUUGAUGGAACUAUCGGUGAUGUACCAUUCGGAGUAAUGACUUGCCAAUUACAGUUCGCCAGGGCGUUCUCAUUAGAAACUUCAGAGUGUGUCUGCGUUUUUGGUAAUGGUUUACUACUUGUUUGUUAGUUUGUGAGUCAGUAAGUUAUAAAUUUGAGUUUGUACAAUAAAGAAAGCCAGAUUGAAAAGGAAAGGUGAAACGAGGGUCUAAUAUCAUAUUUCCCGUUCAAAUUAGUCAUGACCUAGUGGCAAAACAAAUCGCAGAAGCUGAUUGCAAGAUAAUAUGAUUCUGUAAGCAAAUCAGCAAUGCAGAAAAAACAGAAGAACAGCAAAAGACAGAGAUAAGCAAGAACAGAAUGUUCAUACUGAUGCCAAUCAGCUUGAUACAUAAGAACGAAAAUCACCAGCAAACCUUACAACAGAGAUUGUACGGCAUACAGAUUUUAGACGCAAAAGAUUACUAUACGCAACAAAAUAAACUCCCUAAGAGUAUCUCAGCCCAAGAACAACAGCCUCUCUUGCACGGCCCCCCACCCAUUACCCCAAACCAGACCACCACGGGAGGAAAAUGG